UUUUUUUUUUUUUUUUUUGUAAAGUUUUCCAUGUAUUUGGAGAGUUUGAGUUACGUGUCGGAUAUGAGUGUCCAGCAUGGAUAUUUCAAGCAAAACGAAGAGUCAAAGCAACAUAGUCAAGCCAUAUCCGACUCUAUCCCCGAAUCUGAGUAGCAUCAGCACAGAUAAGUGAAUAAAGACCUCGCAAGCACUAGUACUUCAGCUUUAACAGCAUGGAGACGUGAAUUAGUAUAAGCAGAAGCUGAUUUAAUCAACUUCAACUUCCAAAUGAGAGUCUCCGUUGGUAAAAUAUCAGCCAAACCCUGAAAAUAAAGCAAGGAAAAGUAGCAUUACAUGCAAUGCAACAAAUGUCAGGAAAAAUAAAUGAUAAAUCCAAUAAUUCUUACAGAAUAAAACGGAAGCAAAGCAGUGAGGUUGCUAGAAAUUCGCUCAAUUUUCUGUGUGGGAAGAAGCCUACCUUCAACACCUACUUCUGCCAUUUUCAAUGGUUCCCCUGAUCUCAUUAAAACAAAAGCUGUAAUCUGAAUCAAGUGAUUUCAAACUAGCUAAAAUUGCCAAUGUUGGUGAUACAUUCAGACUUUGUGUAACAGUCGAACCUGAAUGGAACAAAACUGAGCUUUUUGUAAUAGGACAGUGGUUAUAUAUGAUGUCAGUAGGGAGUCAUGGUCUUAGGGCCAUGGAUUUCCUAUUGCCUAUGUAUUAGUGUUCUACUCGAUAUAAGUAUCCACUCCAUUUAUAAAGCUUUUGUAGAACACUGGAACCUAAAUUGAACAAAUCUAAGCGUGCUGUAACUGACCAAUGGUUAUCUUACAUAUGAUGCGUGCAGGGAGCCGUGGUCUUGGAGCCAUGAAUUUCACAUCUGCUAUGUAUUAGAGUUCGACUCGAUAUAUAAGUAUCCAUUCUAUUUUUAAUAUGUGAGACAUCUUUUCUAUACAAAAUCAUGAGGUCUAAUGGGUCCAAAUGGAACCUUACAGGUUGUUAUAGAUGGUGAUUUAAUAUAGCAUGCCACUGCAAGCACUUACCAAUCACAAGGCUCAAAAGAAAGGGGAUAGUUCUAACGUGUAGUCCAUCAGGGAAAGCUUCCAGUAUAGGGAGAAAUGGUUGCAGCCGAGACCUGCCUAGUGAUGUAGCUAAAAUGAAAUGAAAAACAAAAGAAUCCAUCAGGUUCACCUCGGCAUUUCAGCAACAGAGUUCAGUUCACAACGAUUUUAAGAAUACUUGAUGAAAAAAGAGCAGAAAAAAGGACACUUCUGUAUGAAAACUGACCUGGAUUUACUAAUAUUAUCACAAAGUCAAUACUGGGAUUACGAGCAGCAACAGCAAGGGCUAAGCAUCCUCCAAUGGAAUCUCCCACUAAAUAGAUUGGACAAUUCAGACGUGAAGCAUGCUCAAGUCUAACGGUUUCUUCAACUAGUUUCACCAGUCCUUCAUAUUCAAAAGAAUAAUGUUGAUUUUUUGUUUACAAAAGAUGCAUAGCGAUUAAAAAUAAUGCACUAAAUAUGGGGAUUUGCCAACACGGGUAUAUUUAAAUUUUUUAAGAAAAAUGAACCGGACCAACAUAGUUAUAAACAAAGUGAAUAAGCACUCAUGCAACUCAAAAAAACCUUCAAGCUUAGGGCAUCAUUCAAAUGCACCUUCAACUUGGAUAAAACUUAUAAAUAAGUCAAGAAAGAUCUUGAAAGACAAAAACCUUCAAAUGGUGUUCGAUCAUGGACUGGAAUAUGAAGGCAUUGAACUUCAAAAACCCUGCAGUACUCAACCAAAAUCUUCAGUAGAAAUUGUUACAUUUCCAAUAGAACAACUAUUAACAUAAUGCCAGAGGUGAAUAUGAGUCAGUAUAAUGUGACAGGAAAGAACUGAAAACAAUGAAAACAAUUUCAAGACAGUAUUUUUUCAGGAAAAUGAGUAAGUUAACCCCAUUUAAAUUAAAUUUUCAGCAAGGAAGCUAUGAACUGAUUUGCCUCUGCUGUAAUUCCUGAAAAAUUAGUUUGAACUAACCUUGAUUGCUACCAUUGGAAGGAAAUAUAUAGAAUUUGUCAGCCAAAAAAAUUAAGGGAAAAUUGGUCAUAAGUAUUUAAGGGAGAUAAAACAACUUACUUUCCAAGAGGUUUAUGGUGCAAAAUGAGGCCCAUCCCAACACCAUCAAGCCCUACAUGCAUCAGAAUUCAGAAACAAAAGAAGGAAAAAUACUAGUUUAAAUCAGUAAACUUAAAGUAUUCAUGGAUCUUGGUAUAAAAUUUUGAAGGGCCAAUUAUAAGUCGUAAAUCUAUAUAUUUUAAUUAAAAUAUUUUAUUAUGUUUUUAUCAAUGUGAAAACAUAUAUGUUAGUACUAUACUAAGAAAUCAUAAAACUUUAGGAAUCUAACUUGUGAUUUUGAAAACCAAAUUAUCCAAAAAAAAAAAUUCAUAUUUAAAAUUUGUUGCACAUUUUUUAACAAUAAUUUAAUAAAUAUCAAUUUCAUAAUAGUAGCAAAAGCAUCUUAACUUGCAGAAGCAUAAACUAUAAAAAGCAUACAGGGACAUCAAAGGUAUUAAAAUUCAUUUAUGACAAACCAAACCAAGUAAUUUGAAGAGUUUAUAAAUAAUGAUUGGUGAUAAAAUGAAAAGGUAAAUAAUUAAUCUUUUCUAAUUAGUCAACUCCAUUCACCCAUCAACCGGGAAAUAUUAAAUUUUUGAAAAACUAAGAAAAAGUAAUAAACACUGAACUUACCAGGUAAAAACAGAAGAAGAGGAGAAUCUUUAAUAGGACGGCCACAUUCAACAGGGCAAAACCACCUUGGUGGUCCACCAUCAGGCUUGAUCAUGUCCUUUGCAGCAUCCACAUAAUCUUUCACAGUAUUAGUUCCAUAACCAUCAUCCCACAAUAGUUCCAACUCUUCACAACCCAUUCUUUUCUCAGUUCUAGACUUUAAACUCCCAUUCCCACCAUCAACCAAAUACCCUUUUCCAACUACUACAGGAACUGUUGUUUCCUUGACGGAGACCCCAUCAGUUGACACUACUGACAACUCGUUACCAUCUAAUCUCUCAGCUCUCACUCUAAAACGAGGCUUCUUAUUUAUCCCAAAACGGUGCCAUACCGGGCAAGUAACAGCACCAGCCAUCACUCUCCUACUAAAACUGCAAUAUACUUUAUAACCUUUAAACACAAAUAUCUACAGUUCUACACUUGAUAAACUUAUUGCAGCCUUUCUUCAAACACCAAAAAUGCCAGGUUGUCCAUAAAAUCGAGCAACUUCAAACUCAAUGGGAACAACUUGCCAAAAGAACUUGUUGGAACCCUUUUUCAAGCAGAAGAAACAACAAGUAUAAUGUUGCCUAAAACCCUCUAACUGAAACAUGUCACACUUUUUAUACCAAAUAUGUAUUUUAAUAUAAAUAUAAGAAGAAAGUAGAGUACAAGAAUGAAAUUUGGUGCAAACACCCAUAUAACAAAACAUGGUUAAUUUUACACUUUACUGUUUCAUAUAUUUCUAUAGUUUAUUGUCAAAAAAUCAUGGAAUGACAGCAAAAAUGUUUUAAGUUCAUAGAAUUUUUAUCUUCUUUUUACAGGAUGUAAAGAUAUUGUUCUUUUUUUAAUAAAAAAAUCCCCCAAAUUUCCAUUAACUUCCACUGGUUUAGCCAUGAAUAAUUACUGUAUCAAUACACUCAUUUGGAUGGUGUGUUUAACAGUUAUAUUUUCAUAAAGAUGUACAAAAGAAAAAGGGAAGAAAUGGCGGGUUUUGGUAGUUGUUGGUAACGGUAAAUUAAGAUGGGAGUUUCUAGACAAAAUCUAUAGGAAUCAAAUCUUUAAAUUUGUAUAUUGAUAAUCAACAUGAUUUACAUUAUUACUGCUCAAGAAAUUAAUUCCGAAACAUAUUAUGUGAAUUAUCAGUAUCUAUUAAAAUAUUAAUAAUAAAAAUUAUACUUUUUAUGAAUAACAAGAAAUUUUUCUAAUAUUUUUAUUCCUAACAAAUAUUACUCAUUCGAUUUGUUUUUUGGUAAAUUCCAAGAAGAAGGAAAAAUCAUAACAGUAAUGCCUUUAACAAAUUAUAUAUGAACUCUAACAAAUUUUUUAAUUCUUAGAUUCGAGUUCUCCAUUUACUUGUGCCUAAAUUAGCGUGAUAUAUUUGAUUGCUAACAGUUUUUCUUAAAAUUAUUUUACAAAUAUUUCUUAAUUAUUAAUGCUAAAUUUUAAGCACAUAUUUUUUAAUUUAUAUUUAAUUUAAUUAUUCUCAUAACAUAAUUAUAAAUUAAUAAUCAAUGUUAACUUGGUUACAUAGAUAUAAUAUUUUUUUUUGAUAGAAGAUAUAAUAAACUUAAAUAUCUUUAAUAUAUACAAUUAUUAUCAUUAUUUUAUAAAUAAUACAACUAAAAUAAAAAAUUAAUCGUAUCGUAUGGCUUUCUAUAUUUAUUAAAUAUUUUCAAUUAAAAGAUGAAAAUGAUUAUAAUAUUUUCUUUUAAAUAUUCUUGUGCUUAAUGAAUGAAUAGUUUAUACUAUAAAUGCUUCUACAAAUAAUCCUUCACCAAAUAUGCACAAUAAUUAAAAAAAUUAAUAUAAGUAAGAAAUAUACACAUUCCCACAUGUUUUUAAAUCUCAUAAUAAUGAGAAAACAAAAAAAAAAAAAAUUCUUCUCUCACACUAUUAAAUUUUUUUUCCAUCUUUAUAUACAUUUAUAGAAACAACACCAUGAAUUUCAUUUUUUUCUCCGGCUUGCAUACAUUUGAAAAUUUAAUUUUUUUUAUAAAUAGAUUAUUUUAGUUUAUUAAACUUUCAAAGCACAAAUAUAAAUUGAUAAAAAAUUGUAGUCCAUAAUCUAAGCGCUUCAAAAUAUCUUAAUUCUCUCACGCUAGAAAAGACCAUUACUUUCUCACUAAUGAAAAUUAAAGGAUAACAUGGUAAUAAACAUUUUGUAGAUUUUUUGCUACCAAUAAAUUUUUUUAUAAGUUUUAGGUAUUUAAAAAGAUUUUAUUUUAAAAAAUUAUGAUUUUUAGCAACUUAAAAGUGGAGGUUUAAGCUUAAUAAUAAUAAGUGUUAUGUAAUAACUGAUUUAAAAAAAAUGUUUUAUGGUUAAAAAUUAGUUUUCACAUGAAUCUUAAUAUAUUUUAUUUACACAAAUUAUAUUGAAUUUUUAAUAUAAAAUAUUACAUGUACACAAUCAACCUAUGCAUCGCAUGAAAAUACAAAUUAAUUAAUAUUUUGUUAAUUAUUUUUAAACAUCAAUCUUAAUUUUUCAUUUAAUCAAUUUAUAUAAUAACUUUUUAAAUAAGAUAUUUAAUCGUCUUAAAUCCUCGAAACUUAUUCCAUUGUUCCAUGCUCAGACUUUGAUCAAUAUGACUUUUUUCAACUCAUAGAUAAAGUACGUGGACAUGCAUACACGGAUAUAUUAUACAUGAAUAUUUAUACUAGAUAUAAACUUGCAAACUUGAUCCCAUAUUCAAAAUGCUUUGCGCUGCUUCACUCGUGAACCAUCAGAGAGAGUGGUGUUGCACACCAAACACCAGUUUCCAGCUACACUAACACUUCGUUAAAUGGGAAGAAUUUUCUUUUGUGAUUCAAGCCGGUAAAAGUAUUAUAGAAGUCCAGAUUGCAUUUUGAAUCUACUCAAAAUAUAGGUAAAUUAAUUCAUUUGCAUUAAAUCAAAAAGUAAAUUGAUGAAACAUUCCCACAGUUAAAAACUGAUCUUUGUAUGCCGGUAUGAGAUACCCGUACUAUACCACACGUCACUGUCUGAUUAUUCUGUCAACCACUUCAUUUUUUAACAAUAAAAAAUGAUGUAUUUUUUUUUAUAGAAAUUACCAAUUUACUUUUAUUUAUUUAUUUAACAUAUAAGGACUAAUUUGACGAAUUUUUUAGUGAAAGAGACAAAAUACAAUCUUACUUUUAAUACAGAGACCUCCAUGAUAUUUUUGCCCAUUCAAACUCAAACUCCCAAGUGAAUAUUAGAUAUGGGUAUAUGUAAGCAAAGAGUAUAAUAUUUCUUUUUCAAGUCGUUUCUUGUAUUUGAAUAUACAAAAGUGAAGUGCUGGAAAUGAAUACUUCCGCCUUGGUCCAUAAGAAAAACAUCAGCUCCAAAACUUCAUCUAAAUUUCACAAUUAAACACAAGGACCCAGAAUUUAUAAACAAUGCAAAAACCAGAAAGUACAGACCAAAUCAUAGAUGGCACCUCCUAAAGGCAACAUAAUGAACAAACUAAACUAAGAUGUGAGUUCAGAAUACUCUUAAAAUCACUUAAAAGCAGCAAACAACUCCUUAAAUAAACAUAGUAUCAAUUUCCCAAAGUAUCAACUCGUAGAUAAGCAUGAAAUACGACUCAAAAAUCUAACCGGCUACUGUAACUAACCCGGUGCAGCAAUUAUGAUUUCGUUUCUUGCCUCCGGAAACUACUGAAAGAUUGACAAGGUGUUAAAGCGAUAUUUUCCAGAAACAAGACUGAUUAUGCAAUUUGUCUUAUUUCUGGGAAUUAAAAAGUAAAAGAUAAAAAACUUCAAAAUAGUUUCUAUGGAUAAAAAACUUCAUAAUAGGUGCCUGAUCUUUUGUCCUAGAAAGCACCUUUUUUUUGGCUAAUUGUCCCCGGAGUUAUGAACACUUCUGCCGCUUGCAUUUCAAUCCUAGAGCUUCUUUCUCUCUUUCACCUGAUGAAUGGCAAGAACAUCUUGACUAGACAAAGACGAAAGGUUUAUGUACCUCGAUCCACUUGACUAUGUAUGGAGAAAUGCUCCAAUAUAAGAAAAAAAAUCAUCUUUCGAUAUAUACAUGUGUAUAAAUAAGGAUCCCAUACACUUCUGGCCAUGAUAGGCAACCUCAGAUGAAUAAUAUGAUUCUCAACACUUUACAAAAGGCAUGAGCUUUCCACUUGAAAUACUGAGACCAACCUGCAGCCUGAUAGAUAUACGAUAGAAUACAGUUCAAACACUAGUUAAACAGAGAGCCUGCCAUGGAUAAUGGGCAAAUAUUCUCAAAGAGAAACUAUAUGAUGUUAAUCCACGGAUCAAAAUGAAGAUACAAUGAUUCCAUUUUAAAUUGACAGAAUUAACAGGGAAGAAUUGAAUUAUCAGCAGGCUUCCUCUCAAAAAAUCGAAUUACCCUCCCCCUUUUUCUUUCCAAAACCAAAAUGAAAUAAAACAUAAAACAAAGUGAUACAAGUUUCCCGCUUUUAUCAUAUGACAAAUAGUGUUCCCUGAAGAAUAUACAUCAAUGUGUGUUAUUCUGUAAAGAGUAAUAUAGGUCACUUAACUAACAUGUAUAAGUCGCAGCUGACUCUCAGAAUCAACAAAUCACCUGCCUUGAAUAACUCUAUAAUUAAGUACCAAAUCCUCGGGUUUCUUCCAUAUAUAAGCCCGUACAGUAGGUAAGCUCAUAUCAGGAGAUAAUACCUGGAACAGAUAGUAAACAGAUAAAAAAAAGGGGCCAGCAUACUGUGAUUGAACUUGAACUAACAAGUUGGUCUAAAAUUAUUUUUCUAUGUUUAUUUCAAAUUCCACAGAUUGAAAUAUUGGUAAGAGAAAAUGAGGAAAAAGUCACACAACUUUGACAGAUAUGCUCUUAGCCAAUGGCAUUUUAGCAUUCAACAAGCAAUUGACUUGCCUGAUUAUUGCAUAAAAUCUCAACAGAAGGCCGAAGCUUUUGCCGUGGCUUCAAUCCAGACCGAAAAGAUCCAUCUCCAACUGCCGAAUGCUGCAAUUGUCCUCCAAUUCCAGGAGCAAAUGUUCCGACGGUAUUUAAAUUAUCAAUUGGUUUGUCAAGCACCAUCUUUUCUUUGACAUAAUUAAUAACCUACAAAACCACAACAGAGUGAAUGUAGUCUCAUCAAUAUACUGUAUAUGCGCCCUAAAAUAACAUUUUUAAUAACCUAACAGUGUUCGGACCCUUAUUCCUUCUGUGCUCCGAAAUAUGAAUUUAUUCUAGAGUAUUUACCCGAGUGAUCUAAAUCAGUAUAAUAACGGCAUUUGCUACCUUGCACAAUCAAUUUCCAUGCAAAAGAAAUUGUCUUUUGCAAGUACUACAGAAAACCAAAUAGACCUACCUUUUGUGUUCUCAAUAUACGCGGUGCACUCAACUUCCCCUGUGUGAGGAUCUGAACAGCUGAACCUUCACAUGGAUGAAGGUAGAAGCUGCACCUGAAAAAAUGAAAAGGGAAUUCAUCAAGAGAGAGAAAGGACUGAAAGACACCCUAGUGAACACCGGAAAAAUAAAAUAUGGGGAAACGAAGGGAUAUUGACUUGUAUUUAGUAAAAAUACUAUCAAUAAUGCUCAUUAUUAGGGUCUGAUAUCAUGCUUUGUGAUAGUUUCUUGUUUUUACGAUUUUAGCAAGAUUAAAUAGAGGCUAUUAUAACUAAUAAAAAGUAUGGAAAAGAAUAAAGUUUUUUUCUCAAAAAUUCUCUCCCUUCCUUGGCAAAUUCUUUUUCUGCCAAAAUUUCUCUUUCUCUGCAAAGCAUAAGAUCUUAUUCUAAACCAUUCCUAAAAAAGGGGGGGGGGAUGAAGCCUCUCAAAUCAGCCAUGGCAAGAAGAAGAGGUACCAUCCUACUUGAGAACCUCCACAACAUAAAAAUAUACUUAUAUGAGUGCUCCCAAUGCUUGACACGAGAAAACCAGUGUGUGGAUUCUGGAUUCAGGGGCAUCAGAUCAUGUGAGAUGUGACAGUGUUUCAUAAAUAUAAUCCAUGUCGUGAUAAUGGUGGAAAGUGCUGAUGGGUCUCUUUAAGGUGGCUGGUACAAGUUCAGUUAUUAACUCAAGGAUAUAACCCUUGAUUCAAUAGCAUUUGGGCCAAAUUUUGAUUGCAUUAUGCUAGCCAUACAUAAGAUUACAAGAGACCCUAAUUGUGUUGCUAAAUUACUCCCAAAAUGUGUGAAUUUCGAGUCUUGGACUCGAGGAAGACAAUAGGCUAUGCUAGGAUGUGGAUGGGCCUCUACCUUCUCAAAGUUGAUGUGCCAAAAAGGCAAUCUCAAAAACCAACUUGUGCGGCUUCAUCAGCUUAUAUCAACAAGGGAUGGAGCAAUAAUUUUGUGGCAUUACCGAUUAGGUUAUUUGAAUUUCAAGUAUCUAGAAAAAAGGUAUCUCAAUCACUCAACAAAAAUAUGCUCCAGAUCUAUUGAAAGAAACAUGGAGGCUUAGGUGCAAACCAACAGACACCUUCAUGGAUCUUGCUAACAAGAUGGAAAUAGAGUAUGGAUCAUAUUUGAUCCAAUUGAGAAGCUUCUAGAACCUAUGGAUCAUAUCCUUAAAUAUCUAAAUGGAAGUCCUAGCAAAAGAACAUACUCAAGAAAAUAUCAAACAGAGAUGUCAAACAUACACAGAUGCUGAUUGGGCUAGUUCCAUGAUAGACUGAAGAUCAACCACCUAUUGUGACACUUUUUCUAUAGGGAGCCUGACUACAUAAAAAAACCAAGAAGUAAUCUGUCACAGCCACAAACAAUAGAAAAGCUGAAUUUAAAACAUUGUCACAUGGCAUUUGUGAGUGAAUGUGGUUAGAACAAAUGUUGAAUGUAUUAAAUAUAUCUACAGGAAAUUCCAUGAAACUUUAAAAUGAUAAUAAGCCAAUAAUAAGCAUUGCCAAAAACCCCAUUCACCAUGAUCGAACUGAACACGUGAAGAUCGAACGCCACUUCAUCAAAGAGAAGAUUAAAAAAAAAAAGAAGAAUUCUUAGACUAGUUGAUAUUGAACCUUUUGAGAAUCACACCCCAAAAGCUAGCUAUUAAGGUUGGAGAGCCUACAUACAUAUAAACCCCAUAAGGAAUUCUCAUACAUCCCUAUGUGGGAUCCAAAUUCAAACCUUACAAUUCCGUACAUAUCAAUCCACCAAGCUCCGCAAUUCCAAUCCCUACAUGGAUUAGCUUUGUGCUAGCUUAUUCUAGCCUCAGGCCUACACUACACUACCAAUGUCACCAUCUAUCACAUUAUUGCAAUUAAAAGGCGUGAGGACUAGCUAAGUCUCAUACCAAUUAGUAUGAGCCUUUGGAGAACCACACCCAAAAGCUAGUGAUUGAAAUUAGAGAGCCUAUGUCCAUUUAAACCCUACUAGAAAAUCCCACACUUUGCCCCACAGCUUGCAGUUGAGUACAUAUCACUAGUCUAUAUAUUUCCGUGCCACCAAACUGGAAAUGGCAUUAUGUUGAAAUAUUUUUGAGAACUUUAAGUCCAAGCUGGACGUGAUAAAUAUUUUUGAGAACAGGCUUUUUCUAUUCCGUCUUAUUCAUAAGAAAUUACAUAAAUAUUUAUACACAUAGUAAGCCUAACUUAGGAAACUCUAUACUAGGAAAUAGACUAACUCUAGGGAUGCUGUCUAAAAAAAACAGCCUUAAAGUUAGGGAUAGUAAUCAGUAAAAUAUUUACAGAAUCCUAUCUGAUAUACUUAAAUAUUCCUUAAUUAGUAAACUGUAAUCUGACACUCCCCCUCAAGCUGGGAAGUGGAUAUCAUCCAUUCUCAGCUUGCUUACUAGUUUUUGAAACAACUUUCCAGACAACCCUUUGGUAAGUAUGUCUGCUAGUUGACCAUCAGUGGACACAAAUGGAGUGCAAAUUAAGCCACUGUCCAGUUUUUCCUUUAUAAAAUGUCUGUCAACCUCAACGUGCUUCGUACGAUCAUGUUGAACUGGAUUAUGUGCAAUAUUGAUAGCAGACUUAUUAUCACAAUACAACUUCAUUGGACCUUCCCACUUGAACUUCAAAUCUUCCAAAAUAAUUUUUAGCCAUAAUAGCUCACAAAUUCCAAGAGCCAUCGCCCUAAAUUCAGCUUCUGCACUAGAUCUAGCCACAACAUUCUGUUUUUUACUCCUCCAAGUCACAAGAUUGCCUCCUAGGAAAGUGCAAUAGCCCGAGGUUGAUCUUCUAUCAACCAUAGACCUUGCAUAAUCUGUAUCAGUAUAAGCUUCAAGGGUUAAAUUCUCCCCCUUUUUAAAUAGGAUUCCUUUACCUGGCGUGCCCUUUAAGUACUGUAGAAUUUGAUACACAGCUCUAAGAUGUGAUUCUUUGGGGUUGUGCAUAAACUGACUUACAACACCGACUGCAUAGGCAAUAUCCGGUCUGGUAUGAGACAAGUAAAUGAGCUUCCCCACAAGUCUUUGAUAUGAACUUUUAUCAACUGCUGCAUCUUCUAGUGCAUCUCCAAGUCUGUGAUUCACCUUUAUGGGUGUGUCUGCUGGUUUACAUCCCAACUUGUCUGUCUUUGUCAACAAAUCAACUAUGUAUUUUUGCUGAGAUAUGAAGAUUCCUUCCAGAGAGUGUGCCACUUCAAUACCAAGGAAAUAUUUUAACUUUCCGAGUUCUUUGACUUCAAAUUCUUUUACUAGGCAUUUCUUUAAAUUCUCCAUUCCUUCCAGGUCAUCACCAGUCACUAUAAUGUCAUCUACAUAGACUAAUAAAGCAGUCACUCCCCCUGAAGAUGAGUGUUUUACAAACAGAGUGUGAUCUCCUUAACUCUGUUUAUACCCCAACUUGAGCAUUACUGAUACGGGGUUGCGCGCGGACCAAGAUCGAGUUGCCAAGUCACGAGAAACUCCUACGAAAACCCUAAACAAUUAGAUCUAAAACGAAACAGAAAAUUAAAAUAUUAGAUUUUUGAAUUUUCAGAUCUGAAAUAAAAUCCCCAAAUCAGUAAAGAAUCAAAUUGAGAAUAGAAAUAAGUGUUAGGGUUCUUGAAACCAUCAAGGAGAUUGUGAUUCUGCCCAAUUGAACACCAAGAUAGUUUUCCCCAAAUUUCGACAAUCUAAUUUCACCAAAAAAGAGUAUGGAAAAACCCUAGAAAUUGGGGAUUUUUGGGCUGAUUCUUUAAGAUAGAAAAAGGCUGAAAACACAAUAAGAACAGAAAAUAGAUUAGAUAAUGAUUCAGCACAAGUAGAAAUAAAGAAAGAAUUGACAGUAAGAAAUUAAAAGAUAAGUCCUAAGAAGCCUUGAAAUCUCGAAAGGUCUCACAACUCCCUUCAAACGGCUCUAAUCUCCCCUCCAAAGAAUAUCAAUGGCAAGAAGAAGGUUGAAGAUGGCUCCCACAAUCACAAGAUUGUUAAAACAGCUUCUAAAGAAAACUCAAGAGAAAAAUCUUGGAGAAAACUCAAAAAAAUUCUACUCUCAACAAAUCUGAAAUUUUAAUAAUAAUGAUAAGUGUUUAACAAGGUGGACAGCCAUGCCUUUAAAUAGGCAUUAUAACUAGUCCUAAUCUAAUUAGAAAACUAAAAUAAAAAAAACUCCUAAUUAUUUUAAUAUGGAAAUUCGGUCAAAUGUUAUUUUAUCUAGGACUCUUGGACUGAAUAUUGACAUAAAAAUUUAAACUAAGUAAAUAAAUAAAUAAAUAAAUAAAAAUAAAACUUUACAACUUGGGCCACUUUGACAAUUUGGCCUGAUUUUCAACUAAGUAUGGAUGGAUUUCUUGAUUGGGCUUGGAAUCUUCUUAUUGGGCUCGCCUUCAAGAAUUUGGGCUUUUGUGACUCGUAUCAUUCCCCCUUCCUCAAAAAGAUUCGUCCUCGAAUCUGAAAAAUCAAAUGAACUCGACUUUCCUCUAUCGAACGGGACUAAUGGCAAUUGAGUCCACUGAGAAGAAUAGCCAUGAGAUAGUAAAUAGCAACGGAAACAAGCUUGUAGUCCAAUCAUAAGCAUAACAGAACACGUAUAACGCAUGUGAAUGGACAGAUUCAGAUUACCAUGCAAACAAUCUAAUUUACUCACCACUGCCUCGUCAAAUAUUUGAAACAAAGAUGGACAUGUUUUAAGGCAUUCAGUCGUCUCACAUUGUUCCCACAAACCAUGAAUAAAUUGCGAGUAAUAAAUCAAAUGGUAAACAUAAUCGUCACAAGUAGGUAUUUGAAAAGAUUCACAUGGUUCACAGAGUUGCAUAAUCAUACCAUGCAUUAAUCGACGGUCUAUAGAUUCACUCACACAUGCAUUAUCAAAAACAAGAAUCUUUUUAUCAACCAUCAAAACAGAUAGAUCAUCAAUAAAUAAAAUAGGACAGUCAAGCACGUUUCGAUCUAAGUGUUCAUCAACACGAUCUUUAUCAUUAUCCGAGGAGUACAAAAGUGUUUCAAAGGUGUCAAGCAUCUUACCUCGAUAAGCAGAAGAAUAAGGGUCGAUUUUACCUUUUUCAUUUAAAACAAACCUUCGCUCAUUGGGGGUAUAGUGUACUCGAAUCUUCGUUGUUGAGUUAACGUUUGUCAAAUGGAACUCAAACUUCAUGUACAACCACAUAAACUGUUUAAGGCACGAAUAUAAAUUGAAAACAAAUUUGGAAAAUUUCGUUACCUUAUUCUCCAAAACAGAUUUGGACAAAUUCAAGGAUUUUACAUAAGGUAAAUCAAGAGAAUAACAAAUCACGCUUCUUUUCGUAAUGACUUUAUCAACCACAAUCGAAGAGUAACAAUUAAUCAGAUCAAAAUGAGGAGAUCUUUUAAGAACUAAGUCACCAAAAGUUUUAUCAAUAAUUUUCAAAUCUGCACUGGACUCGGUUUCUAAAAUUUCCUUACCUCGCUUACCUUCGGGAUCAUGUAGUGUGAUUUCAUCUUUGCUUAAGUUGAUCGUAUGAAAGCGUCUUUCAUUUGAGAGGUAUUGAAGUUGAAAGUUAUCUUUCGAUCUUUCGGGAACCUGAAAAGUAGCAACACAAGAAAAAUUCAUAUCUUGGUUAGUGGAAACAUUCCUCACUACCCUUUCCACGUCUUUUUCUUUUGUUUCUUUUUCUAAUUCAUUUUCUCUUCUUUCUUCAAUUUCUUUUUCACUCUCAAUCUCUUUUUGCUCUUUUUCAUUCUCUUUUUCUUUUUUCUCACUUGUUUUAACAGAAUUUUUCAGUUUGAUUUGGUCCUCAUGGACUUGUUCCAGAGUGAGCGGCACUAAGGUGAGUUUCUUUCCUUGAUGCUUGAAAGAAUACCUAUUGGUACGACCAUCGUGAGUGACUUUUCGAUCCAGUUGCCACGGUUCUCCUAGCAACAAAUGGCAGGCUUGAAUAGGCAUUACGUCGCACACAACUUCGUCUUGAUACUUACCGAUAGAAAAGGCGAUGCGCACUUGUUGAGUGACCCUAAAUUGGCCUUCGUUGCUAAGCCCUUGUAGUUGAUAAGGUUGUGGAUGCUUGGUAGUGGUUAAGCAAAGCUUUUCCACCAUCGUCGUGCUGGCUAUGUUCGAGCAACUUUCACCAUCAAUAAUAACUCUACAAAGCUUACCUUGUACGUGGCAGCGAGUAUGAAAGAGAUGUUCUCGUUGCUGCUCGCUCUUUGGUUUUGCCAAAGAUGAUUCUCCAUGAUCAUGACAAUCAUCAUCCAUUCUAGGGACACGUUGAGGGUUGCACCUAUGGGGCUGGUUAUCCCUAUCUUCCUUAAUUGGAUCUCGAUAUUGAUGUUUUUGAUUCACUCGUACCUCAUUCAAAGUAGUAUUCAAUGCUUGAAGUGUAGCAUUUAUUUGUGUGAUUGCAGCAGUAUGUCUGUCUAACUGUUGUUGGACUUUCAUAAGUGCAUCAUUAUUAUCACCUUUAGACAUCUUCAAAACCUGUAAAAAAUAAACACUCAACACUCAAAAAUAAAAGUUAGCAAACCUCACCAUUAAUCACUCAAAAAGAAAAAUCAAAUUCUCAAUGAGGUCAAAUUCAAUCUUGUGAGUUCUUUAUCAGAGUUUAUAUCAACCAAUUAGAGAGUGUGAACCAAACUAUCAAAGAAUCCUAAUUUGCACUAGGAUGCCAAAAACUGACGAGACACCAAGUGAUUCGUGUUGCACCGAGGAAGGAUUGUGCACACGUUUAAAUCCUACUAACACAAGAAACAAGAAGGUGUUAGAUAUUUUAAAAGGAUAAUAAAAAGCAAACAAAUGAAAACCUACAGCUAAGAAUCAAUAAAAAUUGCUGAAAACAGAAAACCCGAAAAACUGUGGAGUAACUUGACAACUUCGUUCGAGGUGUUCCCGAUCUCAAAAAAUCACAAAAUUAAAUCUCGAAUGUCCUUAAAUAUUUAAUUUUUGAUCUGGAAAGUUUGGGCACCAAACUCAACCCGCUGAAUUUUUUUUAAAUUUUUAUUGGAUUUCGUCUUUUUUUCGAUUUUUUGACUUUUUUGACUGAUUUUUUUGCAGGAAUAAAUUUUUUAUAUUCAAUCACAGUGCCACAAAUAUGUAUGUAAAAUUUCAGAUCAAUUUGACAACGUUUACCCACUCAAAUAAAAUUUUUUUGAAAGAUUUUUCUGGGUAAAACUGCUGUUUUUGCUUUAAAAUAUUGAGAUCAGUUUAGAAAUCAACCAAGAACACCCAAAACGCCCAAAAUCUGAUACCAAAUGAUACGGGGUUGCGCACGGACCAAGAUCGAGUUGCCAAGUCACGGGAAACUCCUACGAAAACCCUAAACAAUUAGAUCUGAAACGAAACAGAAAAUUAAAAGAUUAGAUUUUUGAAUUUUCAGAUCUGAAAUAAAAUCCCCAAAUCAGUAAAGAAUCAAAUUGAGAAUAGAAAUAAGUGUUAGGGGUCUUGAAACCCUCAAGGAGAUUGUGAUUCUGCCCAAUUGAACACCAAGAUAGUUUUCCCCAAAUUUCGACAAUCUAAUUUCACCAAAAAAGAGUAUGGAAAAAUCCUAGAAAUUGAGGAUUUUUGGGCUGAUUCCUUAAGAUAGAAAAAGGCUGAAAACACAAUAAGAACAGAAAAUAGAUUAGAUAAUGAUUCAGCACAAGUAGAAAUAAAGAAAGAAUUGACAGUAAGAAAUUAAAAGAUAAGUCCUAAGAAGCCUUGAAAUCUCGAAAGGUCUCACAACUCCCUUCAAACGGCUCUAAUCUCCCCUCCAAAGAAUAUCAAUGGCAAGAAGAAGGUUGAAGAUGGCUCCCACAAUCACAAGAUUGUUAAAACAACUUCUAAAGAAAACUCAAGAGAAAAAUCUUGGAGAAAACUCAAAGAAAAUUCUGCUCUCAACAAAUCUGAAAUUUUAAUAAUAAUGAUAAGUGUUUAACAAGGUGGACAGCCAUGCCUUUAAAUAGGCAUUAUAACUAGUCCUAAUCUAAUUAGAAAACUAAAAUAAAAAAACUCCUAAUUAUUUUAAUAUGAAAAUUCGGUCAAAGGUCAUUUUAUCUGAAACUAUUGGACUGAAUAUUGACAUAAAAAUUUAAACUAACUAAAUAAAUAAAUAAAUAAAUAAAAAUAAAAAUAAAACUUUACAACUUGGGCCACUUUGACAAUUUGGCCUGAUUUUCAACUAAGUAUGGAUGGAUUUCUUGAUUGGGCUUGGAAUCUUCUUAUUGGGCCUCGCCUUCAAGAAUUUGGGCUUUUGUGACUCGUAUCAAUUACUUUGGUAAAUCUUCCAAACCAAGCCCUCGGGGACUGUUUUAGUCCGUACAAAGCCUUUUUUAGUCUGCAAACUACCUGUCCUGUAUUUGGACCGAAUCCUGGUGGAACAUCCAUAUAUACUUCCUCCUCAAGAUCACCAUGUAAAAAGGCGUUUAUGUCAAAUUGCUGUAAUUUCCAGCCUCGGUUGGCAGCUAGUGACAACAACACUCUCACAGUGUUCAUCCUCCUCGUAUUCUGUUCCUGAAAAAGACAUCGAUUGUGAUAGAAAACCACACUACAGUUAGAGUCUUUGGUAAUUCUUUGGAUGGAUAGAAGAUUGGUAAAUAGUUUUGGAACAUGAAGGACAUUUUUAAGAGUAAGGGUUUUGUUUAUAACAAUAUCACCCUGACCAACCACUGUGAUCACAGAACCAUCGACUACUGUUAUCUUUCUACUACUAGGACAAGGUGUAUAUGAAACAAAUUUUUGUGAGGAGUGGGUCAUGUGGUCUAUAGCUCCUGAGUCAAUGACCCAAGAACUUUUUGUGGGUAUAUCCGAGAUUUUAGAAUUUUGAGAAGAGAAUAUACCUGAAAAAACCAAACCACUAGUAGAUUCUUCAACUUCUCAAUUUCUUCUUUACUGAACUCAACAGAUGAUUCUUGAGAAUUCCCUUCUCCAAUGUUGCUGGUUUUGACAGUUUCAGCCAUGUUUCUUUUGAACAAAUUCUACAGGCUUGAGGGUUGAUCGGGAAUGAGAAGAAGUUGCCAGACAAAGAAAAAAAUCCCAGAAUUUGAGCUAAAAAAACGGCUCUAAUACCAUGUUAAGAACAGGCUUUUUCUAUUCCAUCUUAUUCAUAAGAAAUUACAUAAAUAUUUAUACACAUAGUAAGCCUAACUUAGGAAACUCUAUACUAGGAAACAGACUAACUCUAGGGAUGCUGUUUAAAAAAAACAGCCUUAAAGUUAGGGAUAGUAAUCAGUAAAAUAUUUACAGAAUCCUAUCUGAUACACUUAAAUAUUCCUUAAUUUGUAAACUGUAAUCUGACAAUAACCCAACGUGAGGGGAAGCGUGGGAAUCAAGGGACAUUGACUAGUAUUUAUAAAAAUCUUUUAGGAGCACUUAUGUUGAUUGAGGUUUGGUAAAGAUGUUUUUGUAAUAAUUUAUUUACUAGUGGUUGGUAAAGAUAAUUUAAGAGUAAUUGCUGCAUUUUAUAAUAAUCCCCAUUAUUAGAGCCAUAUCAAGCUUUGGAAUAGUUUUGGGUUUUUAGGGUUCAAUCAAAUAUAAAUAUAGGCUAUUGUAACUAAGAAAAAGUAAAAAUAAAAAUAAAAAUAUUUCUCUCUCAUAAUUUUUCAUUCUCUCCCUCGAGAAACUCUUUUUCUCCAAAAUUCUCUUUCUCAACAAAAUUCAUAUUAUCCACAUGGUUCUUGAUGUCGAGCGACAAUGUAUGGGAAGCACAUUUCCUUUUUCUAAAUCAAGAGAAAAGCAGAUGUCCACAAGAAAAGUAUCAAUAAAGGCUAUAACAAAACAAAAACAUAGAAAGCUAACACUUCCAAUUAAGUUCAUCUCUGUGUAGCAAGCCUAUUGACAAAAAGAAGUCGACCAAUAAGCAAAGGAAAGUUUAAUGAGGUUACAGAAGUUACUUGGUGUUCUCUCGUGAUGGGAGCUGAUUAUUCAAUACACAGUCCAAAACCCACCAUGGGAAGUCCUUCUCAUCCUCAAUACCAUCCAAUUCAGUAAUUUUCUUUCUCCAAGGACCUCCUUGAGAACCUUCAGUGAUAAUUGAAGGAGGGGAAACUGUAGACAACUCAAAAGGAGGAUAGACUGUGGAGUCAUUAAGAGCAUUUCCAUCCACCUCAAUUCUUGAAUGAGCAAGACUUCUUGGAGUAGUAUCUUUUCUUGAUAAAGCAUUUCCAUUAGCUGGAGUCUGCAAGCCAAGUCUUUGCCUUCUUUUGGUCAUCCAAUGAGCCAACAGACCUUUAAGGGUUUCCCGGCCUAGAUUAACCUGCCAAAGACAGUCAAAACCAGAUGAAUGCAAUAAUCACAGAUUUCUCACAUAUACUACAUCAAAAGAUUGCCACAAUCAAUGGAAAAACCUAAUACCUUAUCAUCCUCAGACUUGCCAGUUAUAUUCAGAUCAGCAGAAUACAUCUCUGCAGAAAAACAUUGGGGUGUGUCCAAAUGAACAGAGAAGCUUCCAAGUCGGGCAUCCAGAGUGAACCAUGAAGGGAUGCUUACCUAGAAUGGUUUUAAACAAAAAUCAAGAGUAAAUUCCAAAAAUAAAAUUGAAUUAUAUUGAAAUGACUUAACUUCAAAUAAAUAGUUACCGCACCAUCUCAAACAACUGCUCCUUUUUCUCAUCAAAUGAGACCUGGGCAUUGAAAUUAAAGAAAUAUAUAAAUGCAUACAACUAAAAACAUAACGGUGCAUGUACAAGUGCGUUUAUGUGCACCCAACCUGAAAGUGAAAGCAAAGGGCAAUCCACUUCUCUCAAGAAAGAAAGAUGGAAAAUGAGGAAGAAUCUAGUUCACCUGUCCAUAGUCCUCGAUCACAAUACCCUUGAUUAUAUCCCAGAGCUUUACUGAACCAGCAGUAUCCUGUUAAGGAAGCAUAAAUAUAAAAAAAUGGAACUAAAACCCAACAAAUAUAGGUACUGCUAAAUUUACCUUAGUCAACACAUCCCUUCUGUUAUUUAAAAUUUCAUGCUGAACUAUUGCUGGAGUUCCAGGAAUAGUAAAGAUUGGCUCUUUAUAAACAGGAGCCUGCCAAUACCCAAUAAUGUCUGAACAUCAGUAAAGGGAAAGGGAUAGACAAUCACUGCUACAACAAAUUCCACAGACAGCCAAACUUCAAAGAGAUAUCCAUUAAAAAAAUUAAUAAUAAACCAAAACAUUUCAUGGUUCAUGAAAGAAAGUCUAUUACUUGUUCUGUGUUUUCUAGAGGUUGGUUGAACAAGAAACAUAUGAAACAGAACCAUUAACAGCUCAGUGAGAAGCAUCAAAUUCACUAAAAUGCAAGUGUAUAAGCAGAGAUUUUUUAUGAUAAGUGAAGUGAUUUGCUGUAAUUUCAAACACAUAAACAUGAGUACAUACACAGACACUACACUUACUGGGGCUGUCCCUUCUAAACAAACUCUUGCCCUCGAGAAAGACAAGUUUCCAGCCAAGAAUGAACCACCUCUUUGAAAGACCUUCUGAGGAUUUUGUCCUUCAGCAGGCCAUCUAUGAAAUGAAGAAUCUGUUGUUGCAACCCAUAUACUAUCAUCAUCCAAUGCCAACUGCAAAAUUGGGUGUUCCUUUUUGCAAAGCAAUAUACUUUCUCUUGUUGUCAAGUCUGUCAAAUAUAACUGAUGUAGGUAGAAAAGUAAGCACAAGUCGUGAGUUGAAGCUAAAUGUUAGAGGUAGAAGACACGGAUGAGAGGAAUUGUCAAGAUCAAUAACCAAAAAGAUUUAGAUGUUUGGCCAUUAUUUGACAUCAUAAUGAUUUAGAAGUUAUUUAAGCUAAAACAGACAUUAUCAAGUCUUAACAUUAAAUUUCAUCCAGUUAAAGUUAAAAAGUUUUAUUUCGUUUGUUGGUUCAUUAAUUUGGUAAUUUUAACUUUUACAGGAAUUGAAAAUUUUGAUGGUAGGAAUCAUAUUUACUUGAGUUUUCCUUAUUAGGUUUUUAUUCAUUGUUUAGAUGAUGUAAUUUUACCAAGUCAAACUUGAAAGUCUCCUACUUUGCAUCACAUGUCUUUGUAUGAAUAUUAUUACUUGAACUCCAUAAAUUAGCAUGAUUAACUUCAUUCACUAAAAAACAAUUGUAUGAGAACUGCAGCAGCUGUUGUGCCAAUCCUUUCCCUAGUGCAAAGCUUAAGAAAUUCUAGAUGCGAAACCUAUACCUUAAUUCUUCUUCUUACUAUAUUACUUCAGGCAAUGGCUUCAAUCUUACACCAACCUUAAAUCCUUCUAACUCCACUCACGCAAAUUCAUUAUCAAAUUAAACCCUUAACCAUUAAAUUAACACCUGUGAGUACUGUUAACAGUAGCAGCAUAUCCCAAUCUAAAUCCCAUUACCAAAACUCGAAAGCAUCCCAAUCUAAAUCCCAUUACCAAAACUCGAAACCCCUAAUUAUUAUUGUAAUUUCCAAUCCUUUAGUCUAAAUCAAGCCUGAAAUAGUAAUCAGCCAUAACCCUACAUCAGCACAAAGUACUAGUCAAUUUUCAUAUCAAAACAUUAGCAAAAAAGAUAUACAUGUCCAUCAAAUAGGUUUGGCAUGAAUAUGUACUUACAGAAAGAUCUCUACCACCACUGUAAACAUGACCAAAUGUUGGGGUGCUUGCAAGUGCCCAAACAGAAUCUGUAUGCAGCGCAUAAGAGUGCACGCAACGUUGCUGACCAAGAUCCCAUAGCCUACAAAAUAGAAUUAGCCAUUUAAAAGGCAAUGCCUUAGAUUCUAUAUGGUCAAAAAUGGCAUGUGGUUAUAUAACAGCUAAACCAACAAAUUGUGUACCUGAUCAUAGAAUCAGAGGACCCAGAUAAACAAUAUCUGAAAGAAAACAAAAUAUCUGUCAAAAACAUCACUGGUUAAAUAAAUAGAGCAGAAGAGCAUGCAAUCAAAUAACAGAAUUCACCAGAAGAAAAUCAAGGGAAUGACCCAUCAUACAACAAUAAACUUCUAGAUAUGUCCAAAGAAAAUUAUUCAUUCCAAUUUCACUAGAAAGCCAUAUUGCAGUUGAAAACAAAUGCAGACAAGUACAUCUGAUCUGCAUAGAGGCAUAAGCCCAUAACAAGGUUCAGUUUCCUCAGUUCACCCACCCUCAUUGUUCUCGAAAUAGCAUCCAGGGACAAUUGGAAAUGCACCAAAAUUUUCCAAUCAACCAACCAGUUUAGGCCAGUACUAACUGUUCCGCAGUUGCAAGAUGAAUUAUCAGACAAAAAAAAUGCUUCUUGUAAUGCAUAAUAAAGCUCCAAAACUGUAAGGCCUCCAACUAACAUCAAGCAAUUUCUACUUCAAAUCAUAACUAAGGGCUGCAGAGCUGAAUGUAUUGCACCCACCUGCCAGUAGAAUCCAGAAGGAGAGCCCUGGUGUUAUCUAUAUGCCCUCUUAGCUUCAUAGUCUUUGAACCAGUUCUUGGAUCCCAAACUCGCAAAACCUAUAUGUAAGUGAGGUAAAGAUAAGACAAUCUCUUCCAAAAUGUCAUAGGUGGAGAGAAACAUGAUAUUGUCAGAAAACUUGAAUUCAGUAAGAAGCGCAAACUACCUUCUCAGUUCCACCAGACACAAGAAGGGUUCCAUUAUCAUUCAUUGCCAAUGCAUAGACCGACUCUUUGUGGCCUUUGGCAGUGAUGGGGACAUAUCCAUGACACUGCGUUGUGCUUGCAUUAAUGCUGUUAUUCGAGCUAACUGUUCGCAAACUUGAUAUUGUUAAUGGAUUAGCAGAACCAUUGAUACCAAUGGAACAAUCAUCUUCCAUUACAUCACUUGACUUUGAAAGUGGAGUAACCGCAGCUUCAAUAUCCCAUAUGAAAACCUCCCCACCAAGACCACCAGAAGCAACCCAAUUGGUCUAAAAAGUAUGACACUAAAAGAGAAUCAGAAUGUGACUUCUAUAAUCAUAAACACCAUACCUUGAGCACAACCUAUGCUGCCAAAUUAAACACAGAACACUAACAAUAUAGCACUCAGAACCUUUCAUCCAUGCAGCUAACAAAUUCAAAGAAAAUAUUGCAUAGAAAUUACAUUUUUUUCAGCUGCAGCUAAACAUGUAACAUAGUCAGAGUGUUGGCGGAGAGUCCUGGUACAAGUUCCAUCAGACAAGCAGUUCCAUGUCUGGGUAUAACCCAAGGACAGAGCAUAUCAGUACUUGAUGCUUAGUCAAAAAAAAAAAAAACAGCCAGAGGUACAGCAUUAAUUAAUAGAAAACCUUCAGUGUGGUGUCUGAAGAGCAGGAAACAAGUGUAUUGCCACCAGCUAUUACAGUAUCGUUUACCUGUAUAACAAGAAAAUUGUUUUAUGCUCAUUCAUAACUUAGGCAGUAACAGAGAUAUGUUAUAUAUGUGUAAGAUGAUUGGAUGGUACUGAAGGAAACAAAAGAUAAAAGAGCACUCAACAUUUAAAUUGACUAUUGAUGUAAGUGAAGUGCAAUUUGAUUAUAAAUCAAGAUAUAGUUCUACUAGAUCAAAAAUUGAACAUAAAUUAAAUCUUUACAACUUCUAACAGAAAGUUAUCAGCUAAAGUAUGUUGGUUAUGCACAAAUCCAAAAGUAAACUGUCAUAGGCAAAAUAGAAGGUACCCAAUCAACAUGUGACUCAAAUGUGGCAGAGCAAGUGGCAGCAUCUUUACCCAGUGCCCAUCUCUUAAGUGUGCCAUCACGGCUUCCAGUGAAGAGAUAGUUACAUCCAUCAGAGGCAGACGACUGUAGGACAGCUAAACAAUUUAAGCCAGCACAAUGCUGCUAGACAACAUACCAAAGUGCAGAAACAUCAGUACCAAGUGACUAUACCCAAUAUAAACCAAUAAAAUGGUUGAAUACAAUCCAGAUAAUGGCUUUUUGCUGAGAAUAUAAACUGAAUUAAUAGCAGAAUAAUUUGAUUUGAUUGUACAAAAGAUCCUAAGUUAAUUAUGGACAUUUAAUUAAUAUAAAUAAUUAAUAACUGAGAACACAGGCAUCAUUUUCAUUUAAUAUAACAUGCUUCCUAAGUGUAAAAAGCAUCCAAUUUUGACACUGGGCAGUACUAACUCAGAGAAGGAAGUUGUCAAGUUUGACCCAGAUAGAUUUUAAAAUUAAAAGUUUAUAGGCAUAGCAAAUAUACAAUAAGCAUUGCUUACUCAAUACACAAGCUUUCUAGAAUUUUAUAUAUUCAUUUAUAGUUAAAGUUACCAGGAAACAAAUUAAAAAUGCAGACUAAGAAUCCUGAUAAAAUCUAAAAAAUGCAGACAGCAUUAUAGUGAAAUAUAAAGAUAAACAAACUAGAAACAUAAUAAAAUCUAAAUAAGCAAGUUCCUUGAGAUUUCCAAAAACACAUCAAGCAAGACUACUUGUCUACUUCAAAAGAAGGGGGGGGGGGAGGAAAAAUAUGAAGGGAUUUUUAAACCAUAAAAAGAAAUAACCUUUCUGUCAUUGGCAUCGCUCAAUACAUAGGUCAGUCGCUUUUCCUUACGCGGGCGGUUAGAAUUGCCAUUGUUCGCUGCACUGCCCACUCGAUGCAUUGCAGUGAACUCUACAUAAUCAGUCAAGUGAAAAUUUAAAACUUUACCACCUUCAAUGUGGCUAAAUACUAGAAUCUUUGAAUACAAUAGAUUAAGUAGAUAACCUAUCUUGUACAACCCUAAACUCAAUUAAACAAGGACAAAAGUACCUCAAAUUUACCAAAAUAGACCACAGUUAUCUACCUUUAACUGGUAAUUAAUAUUUCUUUAAAAUAAAAUAGUAGCAACCCUUCCACAUGAUUCUGCCAGAAAAGAUUCGAUCAUUCAAUGAACACACAAUUAAACUCUAAAUUAAAGCCAAAUUUCGUCUCAAAAUGCCAAUUAAAUAUACUAAAUAUCGUAGCAGCUUAAAAGUUACUACAACCUUAACCAUUUCAACUAAGAACUAACAUUUAGAUUCUCAUCGAAAAUUCAAACAAAAUAGACCUACAUGAUCAAACUAACCAAUUAACGCCAAAAAAUGAUCAAAGAAAUACUACAGAUUCAACAAUCUUCCCUUAAAACUAAAAAUUAAAAAAAAAGUCAACUAAAAUAAAUUCAUAAAGAAACAAACUAAAAAAGAUCGGUGAGAACGUGAGAAAUCAAUGAUCGGAGAGAGAUUAUUAAAAAAUAAAAUGAGAAAAGAAGUGAAGCUUUGAACUUACCGAAGGAAAAAGAAAUCAAACACGUCGAUGAAAAUCAAAUGGUCAACAGAAAGAUAUUAAAUUAAACCCUAAAAGGAAAAGAAUUGAUACGUAAUUCGACAGCGUUUUCUUGAUAUUAAUUUUGAUCUUUUUUCCUUUAUUGCUAAAAAAUGAGGGAAGAAAUCUUUAUAGAAAAACUAAACGGGAAAACUGCAGACUUAAAAAGAAGUCUAAAAGGAGUAGAAGUCUACAAGAGGAGUGGGACUGUGGGCUGUAGGUUUUUUUAUAAAAAGAUCCAAAACUUUUAAUUAUUUAUGAAAAUGACCCAUGCUGAGUAAAUAACCCGUUUUGAACAUAAAACUGCGGUGUUGCUGUUGCCAUUGGCGGCACCAUCUAUCACAAUGACCCAAUAAUUGGCCCAUACAAUUAUGAUUUCUUUGGAUGUCGUCAAGAGCAGCGAUGACACCAAAAGAAAUCAAAUUUUAAUUUCACGAGCCAAUCAUUGAGUGAUUGUGAUACGUGGUGUUGCCAAUGGUAAUAGCGGCACCAAGAUUUACUAUUCAAAACGAGUUAUUUAGGUAUAUGAUUUUCAGGGCGAGUUAUUUUUAUAAAUAAUUAAAAGUUUUAGGUCAUUUUUAUAAAAAACCUAUAAGCUGUAGGGACCAUGAAAAAUCUAAGUAAUUCAAACAAUUUUUUAAAAAAAAGUGAUUAUCCAAUCUAAUUUAUUUAUUUUUAUUUAAUUCAUAGUUACUUCUAAUCUAUAUCUAUUUUUCUAUUUAAAUUUUUUAUUUAAUUGUUAAAUUAACAAAAGCUUAGUAUUUUUAUUAAAAACUCUAUCACAUGUCGGUGAAUCCAUAACUUUUUUAGGGACUGUAAUUUAAUUAUUGUUUUUUGUAGAUUAAAAUAUAAGUUUAUAUGUAUUAAUGUAUAUUAUUUUUGAAGAGAUUAAAUAAAAAAAUCAAUUUUAGGCGACUAAAAGUGCAGUUUUACUAUACAUUGAUUUAUAAUUUCUUUAUUUAUAAGGGGAUUGAAUUGGAAAUUUUUCAUUUGGGGGAAAAAUGCAAUUUCACUAUGUACUAAUUUAUAGUUUCUCCAUUUAUAAGACGACUAAAUUAAAUUUUUUUCUUUUUUGGGAGAGCCAAGGCCUCUACAGACCCCUUUAGAUUCGCCCUUUGAAAACUAAAUAUUUAAAGCACAAAUGUUAAUUUAAAAAUAACAUACAAUAAAUAAUAGAACGUAGUGUUUGAAAUCAAUUAAUAAUAAUAUAUAAAAUAUGUACGAUAUUAAAAUAAAAAAAUAGAUUAAAUCGUGAAUAAAAUAAAAUUUAAACACGUAAAUAUAUCAUAUUAAAAAUACAAAGUAAAUAUAAUUAUUUAUCAUGGUAUUGUCAUCAAUCUUGAGUUAGUAUUAAGUUGACUAAUGAUGCCAACUCAAUGAACAACAUUAUCAAUACGUGUGUGGAAAUUACGUGUUUAGAAUAUAGAAGUGUGUUUAAGAAUAUCAUACAAUAAAUAAUAAAUUAUUUGGUCUGAAACUAAUUAAUAAUAAAAACACAUGAAAUAUCUCUACUAUUAUUUAAGUCUAUAACUAAGUUGGUAUCACGAGUCAAUCAGGCACCAACUCGAUUAAGGAAAUUACAAAAAUAUAUUUUUAUAUUUAAAAUAAAUUAUAUUAUUUGAUGGUGCUUAUAGAAUAAUUUGAACUCAUGCCAAUUAUAUUUCUGACUCCCCAAAAAAAUAUAUAAUUUAAUUUUGACCCCUAAAAUUCUGAUUUCGCCCCUGCUCCCUAAGUCUUAUUUUUGGAUCUGUCACAGAAAAAGAUCCUUUGACCGUUCAAGUUUGUCGCCCCUACUUUUUUUAGUUAAAGUUACCACGUGUCACAACCACGGCGUGAUAUGUGACAAAAAAAUAAUGAAAAUAAAAAUAAAUAAAAGUUAUAAAAAUUAUUAGAUUUUAAUAAAAAAUAUUAAAAAUUAGAAAAAAAUUAGAAAAAAUUGUAAAAUUUUAUAAAAUUCAUAAUUUUUUUUAUAAAACAUAUAGAAUUAUAGAAAAAAAUUAUAAAAUUUUAUAAAGUCGUAAGAAAAUUAUAAAAAAUGUAAAGAAAUAUAAAAUUCGUAAAAAAAAACUAUAAAAAUUAUCGUACCAAUAGAAUCAUUUUAUAACUUUAAUAGUCAACUGUUAAAGAGCCUUUUUCAGUGGCGAAUCUAGAAAUACGGCUAAGGGUAGGCAAGGGCGAAGUGAAAAAAAAAAUUUGGCGGAAUUAAAUUAUAUAUUUUUAUGAUAGUAAAAAAAUUCAAUUUCGUCAUUUUGAUAUUCUAUAUUUUUAUAAUUUUUAGAGGAUUAAAUCAAAAUUUUAUCAUUUUUGGUGGGCUAAAAUAUAAUUUUAGCAUUACUAAUUUAAAAUUUUAAAUAAAUUAUAAAUGAUCUAAAUGAAAAUUUUCCAUUUUAGGGGGUUGGGCCCUUGCCAGCCUCCCUAGAUCCAUCCCUGACUUUUUUUAUGCAUUUUAAUAAUUUAAGUACCGAAUUGAGUGUAAAAAAAAUGCAGGGGCUUAAUUGCUUCUUCUUUUUUUAAUUAUUUAAGUUUGAGAACCUUUUUAAUGCAUUUUGGUAGUUCAAGUAUCUAAUUGAGUAAAAAAAAAAGUCAGGGCUUAAUUUCUUUUUUUGAAAAAGUUCGAAGGUCUUUUUUAUACAAUUUAAAAAUUCAAGUAUCCAAUUGAGUACAAAAAAAGUACAAAUUUAAUUACUUACUUUAAAAAAAUUUGAAGACUUUUUACAUCCUUAAGUUAAAUAAAAACUAAAAAGAUCCAACCCAAGUUAAUCAAAUGCUAUCGAAGAUUACAUAAAUUUCUAUAUAAGUUACGCUUUUAUUUUGCAAUGUUUACUUAACUUAAAUUCAUUGUUUAAAGUAAAUAUAAAUAGAAGAUUAUAAAAAUUAAAUAUUGAAAAUUUUAACAUGAAAACAAAUUAAUUUAACAAACCUAUAGAAAUUAUUAAUAAGAUUAUUUAAAAUAUAAUAAAUUAAUAUUAAUAUUUAAACACUUUUUUAAAUAACAUUCAUAUAAUUAAUUCUAAAUUCAUUAUACGUUUUUAAAUUAUUUUGAAUUAAUUACUUAUUUGAUUUUUUAGAAAAUUCAUCUAAUAUACAUAAUUGAUUCGUGCAUCACAGUUGAAUAGAAACCAAUUAUAUACCACAAGGUUAAUAUUCAAUUCAGUUAUAUACUAUAAUGUUAGUUUUUAAUGCGUUACACAAUAAAAAUUUAUCACGUGGAAAGGAAAAAGAAAAAAAACAUUUGUAGAGGAAAAAUUUGCAACAUAAGCCCCUCUACUUUUUUUAUAUAAUUUUACAUAAACCCCUCUACUUUUUUAUAUAAAUUUAAGUGGUUUUUUGCAAGUUAAAAAUUCUUUUUAUGUUUAUCCUAUUUUUAUAGACACUAUUGAAUUACAUAUUUAGAAAUAUAAAUAAUGUUAAAAUAAAUGUUUAUUUAUUUAUAAUAUUAUUUAUUUAAAUUAAUCUAAUAUCAAUUAUCAUGUUUUAAAAAUUAGACUUAUAUAUUAUUAUGUUUUAGUUUUUUAAACAUAUUAUUAAUGAAAUGUUACAAAAUUCAUGAAAAUUUUUAAGAAAUAAUUAAAUGUAAUUUGAUUUAGAUACAAUUAUCGCAGAGAUGUCCGACAUAUUCUGUAUCUAACAUUUACACUCGAAUUCACACUCGAAUUCAAGUAACAUGUAUAUAUAUAUUCACGAAAUAUAAAUAGAAUACCCUCGUUGAGAACAUUUCUUAUUCACAACUGAAGAACCGAGACAUUUGAUUUCAGGGUGUAGAAUUUACCGGAAUCUGUUGUGACAUAGGCAAGUUUGAUUGGUCUUGAUGGGAAGGGAUAACAAGCCGCUGCAACGAUCUUAAAGCUACAGUUAGCUCUGCGAAUGAAGGUCGCAAACUUGGAUCACUAAAAACAAUGGGGGCAAUAUAUUAGACUGGAUUUUAGUAUUGUAAUAGAAAUAUAGUUGUUAGUUUAAAGUUCAAGUUCCGGGCUACUUACGUUUGCCAGCAUUGCCAGAUUAUCCUUGCAACUAAAGGAUCAAGUUCCUUGGGAAUGUCGAGGCGACGAUUCUGGAAACCAACAGCACCCACAACUUGCAUUGGAUUCAUUCCGCUCCAAGGUAGUCUCAAAGUCGCAAUCUCCCAAAGAAUGACUCCAAAGCUAUAAACAUCACAUCUAUACAUCCAAAAAAACACAAAAGAAUGCAUGUUAGUUUUAAGCUUGCAGAGUUUACUAAUUUCACAGCUUUAAAAUCCAUGAGUUUCUGCGAGAAAAUAGCAGUCACUUUUUAACUUUGAUCACUAAUAUUGAGUCAUAGUAAAAAAACAAUUAACGCAAUUAUAUGUUAUGUUACUUGGACUCAAGUGAGUUUAUGAUACGGUAGGUAACUUGCAUGCAUAUGUUCAAAUUUUCUCUGAAAUUUCUCUUUCAUUUAGAAGACCCUUGGAGGGUCAUAUCUUCAUACUCAUGUCGAACACAAGUGUAGGACUCGUGUAAUUUAGAAAAAAAAUGAAAAUUCGGAACAUUGAUUAUAUGUAACCAAAAGGUGACACUGACAGCUUAGCAUGGUGAAUUUUGAACUGCUAUGGAGAUAUGAAACUUUAAAUUUUAUGAUCUUCACUAUAUUUUCAGAAAUCCAACAGAUAAUUGAGGAACCAGAGGGAAAUGUUCGUGGAUUGAUCAAUCCUAGAAUGAAGGGAUUGAGCAAUCCUAGAACGAAGGAAGGAAGAUCAGGAUUAAACAAUAUCGAUGGAAGAGAAACAACUCACUUCUCAUUGGAGGGCUCAUUGCGAAGUACUUCUGGUGCCAUCCAUUCGGGCUAAAACAUAGAAGGCAACUCUCAGUCAGAGAAAUGAAGAAAGAACAUAAAUAUAACAGAAGUUACUUGUUCUAUCUAUUUAACUUUAUAAUAUAUUGCACAGUAGGCCAAAGAUACCAACCGUUCCUGCAGUUGAUUUGGAUGAUAGGAAGGUAUUAUGCUUCAAGCGUGACAAUCCAAAAUCACAGACCUGAAUUGUUCAGUUUAGCAAUCAGAGGGUGCAGAGCAAGAAUUCCACAGCAGCCAUACUUAAUUUCCUAAUUCUUUUCCUUGAAAAGAAUAAGAAACUUUAAGAAGCACAAAAGGCUUAAACAUACAAACAUCAUUUACCUUAACAGUCCAGUUUUUAUCAACUAAAAGAUUAGGAGACUUCAAAUCGCGGUGAACAAUGGUAGGUAUGCUGGCAUGUAGGCAAUUCAUGCCCCUAGCCUGCAAAAUAAAAACAGAUUUGAAAUUUUACAGGGAUGUGACAUACUAAAUAAAACAAUUGCAGAAGCAAUCAAUUCCAUACCACAUCAAGAGCCAUCUUAAUUCUUUGCUUCUCAUCAAUUCGAGAAUGAGGACGAUGAAGAAUCUUAUAUAAGCUUCCUCUGGAAAACCAAAUAGCAUUUGAAAAUUUUAGAUCUCAAAGUUUAUCGACAUGUCUGUCACAUAAAUGCAUAUGUAUACUGGUAGUUGUAGACUGCCAACCUUGUAUGUACUUUGCAUAUGCAGGCAUAGACUUACCUUGGAAGAAACUCAGUAAUGAUAGACAGGUUUGGAGGGCGAGUAACAGCACCCAUAAAAAGAACGACGUUUGGAUGGCGCAGUCUACGCAUUAUUCGCACCUUAAUUAGAGAGAAACAGAAACCAGGAUCAGUGACUUGGACCUAUUUAACUGCCAUGACCUUAGGCAUGAUGUUUGUCUUAAAAUAAACUAAAAAAACUAAAAUAUCUGAAAACUUAUUUAACUAACUAUCCUUUUAAGAGAGAGACAAAUGCUCAAAAGUUGCUUACUUCUCUUUUGAACUCAGCCAAAGCAUCACCUGAAAAAUCCUGGUCUAGGAACUUCUUCACAGCAACCUCCUUUAGUUCAAUAACCAUUAGUCAUACCAGCCCAAAAUAAUAAACUAAUUGAUCUUUUAAUUUGUAGUGCAUAACAUCAUUUAGAUAAAGUAUAUUUAUGGUUCAGUACUGAGUUCAAAACAAGGAAAAUAGACCUCGUUACUAUGCUUUACGCAAAUAAUUGUUAGACAGCUUGAAACCUGAAUCCUCUAAAAUACUAAUCGGAGACAGCACAGAGUGAAAUACAAGAUGAAAACUGCGUUAGAGUGCAGCAGAGUAUAUACUAACCGUGCCAUUCCAAUCCGCAUGGUAGACCUCUCCAUAAGAACCUAUUCACACGAAAACAAAAUUUAGAAUACCUCCCAAAAAUGGUAAAAGUUCUUGCAAAGCAAGCAUCAGAAUUACUCAAUUUAAACUCUCAAGAUUUUCAUAGGGAAUAACAAUAGCUCUGUUCUUUUUGUUGAAAGCUAAUAACAAUAGCUCUUAAAUAUAAAACAAGGGGAAUAAAUCUUACAUGGCAGACACAAUAUGCAAGUAUGACUGAAUCAACAUUUAGUUUAUAUGCAAAAAUUGACCUAUGCAUAAUGAGAGAAAUUUCCACAUGUAAUGGACCUCAAUAAGCCACAUCCAUUACCUAAUCCAAUUCUUUCACCAAUAUCCAAGUCUUCCCAAGGAAUUUCGCAUUCACCUACAUCCACAUCAUCAAAUAGUUGUUCAACCUUGCCUUUGCCAGAAUCAAGUGAUGAGCUAGGACUUUCCGGAUCCUUCAAUUUAAGGUUAUUCUCCACAUAUCUCUCCUGGGUGUACUUUCUAUGAUUAUAGAAACCAAUCUCAUUAUCUUGCUCUUUAGCUAAAUCCCCUGUUUUAUUCUGUAAAUCAUGUCCAUUCCUGAAAUUCUCUUCCCUAAAAUUAUUGUUUGCGUCCUCAACCAGUUGUGAGCUAUUAAACUGACUGGUAGUGGAUGCCACAGAUGAGCUAGUAACAGACAAAGAAUUCUGGAUUUUAUUCUCUCUAUUCAACAUAUCAAAGCGCCCAGGGGAGUUAAAUCCGUGAGAGUAGACCUUUUCUGGUUUGGUAGAGCUAGUGGAAGCUGAUGAUGACUGAUUAAAAUCAUUAGGUUUGCAACUGAUUUUUGGAAAGAGGCCCUCCAUAUAAUUGUACUCCUUUUUCUGAGGAACCUCAUUAUAUACGGGUCGGUUCUUCCACAUCAAUGGUACUGGGGGUCGCGCCACAGCUACAUUAUUUCUCAGCCUCUGAAACUCGUCAACUUUGGUCUCUGUAGGUUUGUUUUGCUGGUAAGUUUUGCUAGUCCCUUUUCUCUGGAAUGGAUUAAGAUCUGCAAAAGGAUCUUUUGGGUCCUCUUGACUACUCUGACCAUAUGGCACUACAUUAACGUUCAUUCUCAGGCUAUCAACUACAUUGGCACCACGACUCCCUUUAUUGGCAGAAGUUCUAAUGGCAGUCGAAGGAAGAUGGUCCAACUGAUUAGGGGUCACUCUAUUAGAUAAUCCAGAGGAAAUAACACCAGAAUCAGCUCUUGGACCUGAUAAUGAAGGUAACACUUCUGCAGUUCCAGGGGUCACUCUAUAUAAUCCUGAAGAACUAACAGUAGAAUCACCACUUGGACCUGAUAAUGAAGGCAACACUUCUGCAGUUCCAGUACUUGACCCCCAAUUGAUGGGCAGACUACCAUUGACCACAGGGUGCUGACUACUACCCUCAAUGCUAGAUGGCUUUGCUCUUGAAUAACCAUUAUCAGACGACUGAAGAGUUGGGAUAUUGCUAAUAAUUGGAUUGUAUGGCUUAAAAGUAGCAUCGUUCGCACUUAAAAUAUCAGCAGGUAUAAGUGUACCAGGAGCUGCCAUUAGAUCAACCAAAAAUUCCCUGGAGAUUCAAAAACACAAGAUUAGACCUAAAUAGAAGUAAAAGAUUAAGUUAAGAAAGAAGCACAAGCUAUAACCUUUGAUCCUCAAGCUUUAUUAUAUUUACAGCAUCAUCCUCAACACCAGUAUAGUGGCUGCCUUUUACCAGUAUACAAGGUAACCUUAUGCUAUCUGCCAACACCUACAUUAGGACAGAUAGAAAAUAAAUAUAAACUUUGCACAUAGCCCUAUUACAAAAUUAUGAGCAUAGGAGUGGCAACUAAAAGAACAAAGAUAAAUCAAGGCAAUUUUGUUUCCAGAACUUAAUAGCUAAAUAUUAGAACCUGAGGCAAAGGCAUAGCCCUGUUUAUUAUCAUGACCCCUUCAGAGGGUCAGUCCUGCAAAGAAUGAGUUUUAAUCCCAGCCCAUGAAAAAAUUUCAAGGGUUUAUCCUUAGAAAUUGCAUAGAGAAACAGCCAUAAGUCAACAGAAUAGAUAUGAUUAUUUUGAACUCAUUUUUUUUAUACUAGGCAUAACUGGAAUAACCAUAUUAGAACAGGCACUGAAGUAAUUCUCAAAACUUCAAAAAUUAACCUUGAAGAGUAAAGCACGGUGCCGAGACAGGCCUAUAUUUAUGGAGCCAAUGGGGAACACACUUGUAUGAAGAGAUGUUCUAAGCUUUGUGCUUCUUUUCAUCCAUCUAGCCAAUACUAUAUUAGCAUCUUUAACAGGUCCACCCAUAUGUCCCGUUACAAGUUCAGCAAGCCGUUGAACUAACACAUCAAUAUUGGUAGCAGGGCAAUCUAAAGUAAUACAAUGUGCAAUUUGCAACAACUCUUCUAGGGCUGGGUCAAUCGUUCGAUUGACAAUUACAACUUCAAAGCCAGAAUUCCCGAGAUUCUUUUCAAGAUCAACAAGAGAUGGCAUUUUUUCUUGAAGUUUUGAAUCUGGGGAGAGCCCAUAUACAUCAUAAAAACCAUCCACCACUCUUUCCUCAUAAUCAAGCACAUUGUAUUCCUGGUGAAUAAAAGCAAUCCAACCAGUCAAUUCAAAUUGAAUAACUCAAGAAAUAGCAAGACAUGCAAGAACUCUAUGUAAUAGAGAGUUAUUGCAUCACUUCUUCUACACUGAAAGUAGCUAAGUCCUUUUAUUUUUUAUUUAAUUAUAAACCAACGAGAACAUGACAGGAAGAAAAGACUCAUUCAGUCCAAAUUAUCAUAAUAUAAUUCCAAACAGUAAAUUGCUAAAAUUCCCUAGGCAAGUGUCAAUGGAAUACUAGUUAUAGAAGCUGCCAAUGUUUCUGGAUUAAACAAAUUUCAGUGGUCAAAAGAUUGAAAGAAAUAGCAAGACAACCUGUGUAAAGACCAAAACACCAAACAUCAACUAAAGCAAAACAAGCCAGACAAAAAGGUCAUGACUAAGAGCACUAGAAACAUAUUCUCAAAUACACUUCAAAUUUAUUCCCUUCAUCUUAUAAAACGGUUCCUAUUAACAUUAUUAUCCUCAAUCUCCAAGCUAGGUAAUAACUGCUGGAGCUUCAUUCAUAGAGGCCAGAGCUUCAUUCAAAAUUUUCCCACCAGAAUUCACCAUAUAUAAAAAUCUAAAAUUCAAAUUCAAACCAUAGUUUGGCCUAACCAAUCACUAGCAGCAACUAAACAUCCCAAAUUCAAGCAUAUUCACUUUACUAGAUUCAACACAUACAUUUUCAACUCUCAAAAUGGCAAAGCAAACGAAGACAAAUAAAAUCCCUUACUCAAAACCAAAAAUUCCUAAGAAACUAUCAACACCGAAGUGGUAGAUGCCAUUUCCAGCUUCUCCACCUGAAGCUAAGUAAUGUAGCACAUCACUUUUAACUCAACUAACCAAAAAAGAAGCACAUACCCCUCCCCCCCCCCCCCCCCAAAAAAAAAAAAAAAUUGAAGCUAAUUCAAAACAAUUCCCUCUAGUUCAGUAUUGUAACUUGCCCAAACCAAACAGUCCAAAAAUGCAAUCACGAGAGCCAACUAAAACACUCACAACUCAAGCUCAAUCAAUCCAUUCAAUUCACUAAAUUUCCAAUUUAAACUUAGAAAAAUGAUUAAAAACGAAAACGUAAAAAUGCUUACCCAAUACUUCCUGGCCAAAACCUCAGCUGCCACGUCAUCUUUAACCCUCCCGAACCCUAAAUCCAUUCCAUGAUGAUUCCCUAAGCUCAAAAGCGUCGCCGCUCGGAUCUGAUCUUUCUCCGGAUCCUCGGAAUUAGAAGCACUGAUCGCCAAUGCUAACUGUACCUGAAACUCUUCCUCUGACAACAUAUAGUCCGACGCUCGAUUGUUCGGAGCUGAUGGCGUACUCAAACCAAUGCUCGACAGUACCGGCAUCGGCGUCGUGUUCACCGGAGAUGAUGACGUAGUGGUUGUAGAAGUACUCAUCAGAGCAUUUCCGGACAUCGAGUGUUGAUGAUCGGUGGCGCAUGACGGCGAUGGCGACGGAGACGUGUCGGCUGUCGAAGCUCGAUUAUGUUCGUGAUUGCUUCCUAUGUGUAACUUCUUAAAAAUGUGCUUCAUUUUUCCCCCUUUUUUUCUUUUGUUAUUUUUCAGUUUCCUACACUUUCUCGCAUUUUCUCUCAGUUUCUUUUAUUUUUAAUUUAUUUAUUUUUUAUUUUUGGAAAGGGUCAUGUAAUAAAAGGUGUUGUUAAAAGGAGGGAAAACUUAGCAAAUGGUAUAAUAAGCCUUGGCGGGUAAUUAAUAAUAAUAAGGCUUGACUUUCAGAAAUAUCUACGAAACUGCCAUUCGCAAUCAUCACCACACGCGCUUUCGGUUGACGAUGUCCGAAUUAAGCAUCCAAUGCAGCUGGACACGUGGAUAUUAGGUACCAUGUCACUUGUGGGCUCCACUGAUUUUUAAGAUUGUGUUUGACUAAUCAUUUUAUAAUAAUAACAAAAAUUUCCUCUAAAAAAAGAACAAUCUAUAUAACAUAUAUAUCCAUAUAUAUCAAUCUAUAAUAUGUAUAUAUAUAUAUCUAUACAUGUCCUUGUAAAUCACGAAUUUAACUCAUCCUAUUUUAAUUUAGUUAAUUUUAGUAUUUAUAUUUUUUAAAAUUUAAAUUUUUAAUUUUAACCUAAAUAUUAGUUAUUAAGUUCGUUAAAUCAAUUUUAUUAGAUGAUAGUUAUUAAUAAUAUAAUUUUUUAUAUUACAUAAAAAUAAAAAAUUAAUAUGAUAUUACAAAUGUUGUAAUAUAUUUAUAGUAUAAAAUUUUAAAAAUAAUAAAAAUUAAUUUAAAAUUGAUCGUACGAUAAACAUGAAUUAUAAAAUAAAUUAAUUAUACAAAAAGAAUGAAAAUUAAAAUAUAGAAGCUAAAUUUGCAAUUUAUGCAUAAUAUAAAUACUAAUAAAAAUAUUAACAAAAAAUAAUUAAAUACAUAAUCUCUUACUCAAAAACUCAAUUCAAGAUUUAAUUAUUUAUUUUGAAAACAAAACUUAAUUUGAAAUAAAAAUUGUAUUAUUAAACUUGUUCAAUCGGAUGCAUUUAUUAAAUAAAUAGAUAAGGUCGAUUUAUUCUUAACUACGACCUUGAAUAUUUAUACUUAAAUUCAAUUUUUUUAUUCAAAAAAAUUUUCAAUACUAAUUUAAUUUUAUAAAAAAAAGAAUUACCGAAUUAAAAAAAAAAAAAAACUGUGCUCCCUUACUACUCAAAGAAGACAGGAAGGCUUGAACUAAACUUGCUCAAAAACACAAGCUUGAGCUUGAACUAAUCUUAUUUAUUAUUUCAAACAAUCCCACAUUUAUCUGGAAUCAAAUUCAAACAUUGAGCGACUGCACCUCCAUAAACACGAUCAAUAUUUAUUCCAAUGUAAAUAUUUAUUAAUAUGUGUUAAAACUUUGAAAAGAAAUACAGUGAACUGCAACAAACAGGGUUCAACACCAUGUCCAAACACCAAUUUUUUUUUUUUAUAACCCUAGAAGAAAACAAGAACCAUCAAUGGCGAAAGUUGAUAAUGUUGCUUGAUCAAUAGGUUACCUUCUCCAUGUUUCAUCUCAAGGCUCAAACACCAUACUCUCUGCUUCCCGUUUCACGGACUCAAACAGCACGGAAGACAAGUAUCGCUCUCCAAAGCUGGGGAAGACCACCUGGAUUAGAUCAAAUUUAAAAAAGGGGAAAAUAUUAACCAGUGCUUAGUAACAUUGUAAAACUAAAUGCAAAAGUUAUCAUAAAAAUACGAAUCAAUUAGUACUUAACUAGUGCUUAUAAAGACCCAUUAACUAGUUUGGAGUUCGGACCCUUAAAAGAUACAUAGAAUUCCAAAUAAGUAUAUUACAUCAGAAUCCGAGUAACAUAUGCAAGACUCAAGGCGAAAAACACCAUAGAUGACCUAAUAUAAUUUUGUUCAACAAGAAUGCAGGCGUAUAGAAUCUAGAAUCCAUGUGUAUGCCGAUAGUAUUAUCAGUGUAAUUUCACAGAAAUGUCUGAACUCUCAAUAACCCUUUUCAAUGGCGGCAUUUAUCUUCAAACAUAUUACUUCAAUCACAUGUUCAGAAAGAAUGAUGUAGGACUGAAUAAAAAAAACUUACAACAAUGAGUUUCCCGGCAUUUUCUGGCCUCUUGGCUAUCUCAAUCGCGGCGGCGGCGGCAGCACCGGAUGAUAUACCUACCUGUAAUAUAUGUUCCAAACAAUUACAACUAAAGGAAACUGCAGAAAGAAUCCAACAGAAGCUUGAGUGUCAAUUUUCGGUUUAGUUGUGAACAAGCACCAAGGUAUGGAUUUCCAUAUUGAAUUAUAUCAAGAAAACUGAAGAACCUUACCAACAAUCCUUCUUUCAGAGCAAGUUGUUUUGCAGUUUCAAUAGCUACUUCACUUGAUAUCUGCAGCCAUACAGGUAAUCGAUCAUUACAUGGAACAAGAAUAGCAAUACAUGCAUGAAGAAAAAAGCUGCAAUUGAAGAAAGUGUGCUCAUAUGUCGAAUACCACCGAGUUGCCUUCCCUAUAAGCAUCUAUAACAUAUAUUGAUCAUAGGAUAUGAAAUAAUGAAAACCAGCAAUGAAUUAUGAGAUAAAAGCUGUGUGGCUUAAAAAAACAUAGAAAAAUUUGAACAUUACAGUAUUAGGCACAUACUCCUAUUUGACACUUAUGCUCAAUUCUGAGUAAAUAUAGGAUAAUAGCAUAUAGAUCCGAAGUUGAAGAAAACAUUGGUCUUAAUAAAUUAAAUAUCAUCAAGACUUACUUGAACGACUUCAUCGAUUAAAUUGACGUCUAAAACCCCAGGGAUGAAGCCAGCACCAAUUCCUUGGAUCUUAUGUGGACCUUGAACAUUAAAAAAUGCAACCAUCCAUCAAUAGAUAAAACAUUAAUCUUAUUUUAGCAUGAGGAGUACCGGAAAAGAAUUUUCAGAUGAUAAUGGCAAAAAUAUUUAAUAAUCUUCCUAAGAUUUAAGAGACUAAAGCCAUGCUGUUUGCCUGUUGUCAGGGACAAUGUACAAAAGCUUUGUAGGGAAAAUUUUCAAAUUUGAUGUGAAUAAAAUAUUAUGAUUGGAAUUAUAAACCAGAGGUCUGAGUGGUUUGACUUUGACCACCUGUUUGGAUAUAGUUUGUAAAAGAACAACUUACCAGGUUUCCCUCCAGAAAGCACUGCACUCUCAACUGGUUCCACGCCAACGAGCUGAAUCGAAAAAAGCAAGGAGCAAUGGAAACAUAAGAAACACAAAAGCACAAUGACAGACAAACAAAAUUAGUAAUAGUUAGGGAUCAGAAAGUCUAACCUUAAUGCCAGGAUUCUGCUCUUUCAGAUACUUCCCGGCUCCUGUUACAGUACCUCCAGUCCCGAUACCAGAGACAAGGACAUCUACCUUUCCUCCACUGCCUUUCCAUAUCUCCGGUCCGGUUGUCAGAUAAUGGAUCUAAAACAGGAACAAAGAAUCAAAUCACAACACCCUCAACGGCUCGAACUACUAACAUAUGCGUGAAAAGAGUUCUGAAUGAUACCUUUGGGUUGGCAGGGUUUUCAAAUUGCUGAAGAAUGUAAGAAUUAGGAGUCUUUGACAUAAUUUCCUCAGCUUUUUGAACAGCCCCCUUCAUGCCCCGGGCUGGAUCCGUAAGAACUAGCUCAGCUCCAAAAGCUCGGAGGACCAUUCUUCUUUCUAAACUCAUUGAAGAAGGCAUCGUAAUUAUGAGUCUGUAACCCUUAGCAGCUGCCAUGAAUGCCAACCCUAUUCCGGUAUUACCACUAGUUGGCUCGAUCAGCACACUCUUCAUCAUAUAGGAAAAACAGAAACUUUGUCAAGUUAAAACUUCUCUCCUUGAGUUUAUACUUUCAACAUUAAAGCAACAAGAUCGUGACAUGAGCUCAAGGAAAGCUAUACUUUUGCAUAUAAAAAUGAAAGGAGUUUGAAUAUCGAAUUUAAAAGGAACAAAAACUUGAAAGCCAACAAGCUUCUACAUAAAGCUUUCUCUAUGUAAGUUCAAAUGGUUAACUAGAGAUGCUUUACAAGUUGACAACAACACACAAUUUCAGCCUAUGGCAUAGCUAGAAUAGUAUAACUACAAUCCACUUAAAACCCUAAACCUAGCAUAAACUUGAAUUUUAAGAGAGAAAUAUAGCGAGUACCAACCUCGCCUGGUACAAUGAGACCCUUCUCCUCUGCAUCUGCAAUCAUACUAUAUCCAAUCCUGCAUGCAAAGAAGGUUUUCAAAACAAAGAUUAUAGAACUUCAGUCCUACCAUAAGUUAAUGCAGCGUAAUAGAGUUGAUUACAAUAAAAUAUUCUGAUACAACCGGCAAAAGACGUUUAAUAAAUACCUGUCCUUGACACUGGAGCAGGGUUCCAUUGCCUCCAACUUGGCAGCAAUUUUAGCCACACAUCCAUCUACAACAUUGUUGAGAUAUACCAGUGGCGUGUUACCGAUCAACUGUUCAUAUCCAAAACAAACGAUAUUAACAAGGUUGGCAAUACUUUUAUUGAAUUAAAACACAUAAAAAGAUCCUUUAAUAUUGUUAAUGAAGAUGAACAACUGCUUACUUCGGUGACAUCCUUGGCAAUUAAACUCUUUUCCCCCAUUUCUUCUUUAAGUUACUGCACAAACAUUCCAAAGAUUAAAUCAUUUAGCAAAACAAGCCAAACAAAUUGAAUAUGAUUAAGUAGUCAUGAUUGAAACAAAACAAAAAGGAGCGCGAAGACAUUUUGAGCGCUUGAAGAACAAUAACAGUAAUUUAAAAUAACAAUUAGUUUGUCUAAAAAAAAAAAGAUUCAUUACGAAAGAGAAAUUAGUUCCCUAAGAGUUGAGACACUAAAGUGACUAGAAAUGACUCUGAACUUGAUCAAUCCAAAAGCAAAAUCGGAUCCCAUGAAAGUUACAGUAAUGAAGAGGAGGAAAAACCCAGAAUCAAUAAAAUAAAGAAGAACAUAAACAGCCUACGAAAAAAACCCAUAAAUCCAAUCUUAAAAACACAAACAAAACUAUAAUCUGACAGAUAUUUAAAGUACCCAACCUCCAAAAGUUGCAGAAUUCACAAGAAAGAUGGUGUUUUUCAGUACAAUCUGUGAAGCAAAAAUGAUAUAUAAGCCAAAGACCAAAGAGUUCAAAGGCUUAAGUAACCUCGAGAAAGCUGAUAGACAGGAAAGCUACUUUAUAGCUGUUUGUAUAUUAUCAAAAUUUCCUCUCUUUUUUAUUUCCAAUUUUUUUCUUUUGUACUUAAAAGAAAAAGCCAAUUUGGCCAACAAGGCAACUAACGGGGUAAAAUAAAAUAAAGUAAACUACAACAAAAGUCCCUAAAUUAUUAGCAUAUUUACGUUUUGAUCAUUUAGUUUUAAAAAGUUACAAAAUGGUCAUUAAACUAUUUGAAAGUUUUUAUUUAAAUCACUAAACUAUUCGGAAGUUUUCAUUUAAAUUAUAAGUUUUUCUCUUAAGGUCCAGCUAGCGAGCUCCAAGCGACGAUUUGACGAUUGGUACGAUGGAUCCAUCGACGAGUAGAAAAACAUGCCUUAGAUCCAAGUUGAUCUAAUGGUCAAUGUUGGAGAUUGCAGAAAAAAGUUGUUUGGAUUUUGGUUUGCAAUUUCUUGACGUUCAAAGACGUUUCAUGAAAAAAAAAUGAACUAUAAAAGAGAAGGAUAAAAAGAAAUUUAGGUUAGUGCACGCUGUGAGAACAUAAAAGGCCAUAUAACAACGAUUUGAAAAGCUCAAUGACUUAAAUUAAAACUUUUGAAUAGUUCAAUGAUCAUUUUAUCAUUUUUUGAAGUUAAAUGACAAAAACGUAAAUUUAUUAAUAGUUUAAUGACUUGGGUAGAAUUUAUCUACCAUGUAAUUUAAAAAAUAUACAUAAAAAAGACGAAAUCCAUUCAACCUGGUCCCUCUUAAAAAAAUUUUAUUUUCUCAUUUUAAUUUCCGAACAAAAUUAAAAAUGAUAAUAACAAAGACAAAAGGGUAAACUAUCAAAAAGAAAAAAAAUUAAAUUGCUCAAAACUAAAAAAUAUGGGGACCAAUUGUAAAAUUUAAUCUAAAAUUUUUAAUUUUGCCCAAAUUCUUUUUUAUUAUCAUUUUACCCUCCACCUCUCUAGUUUAGUCAAAUUAGUGUUUUUAGACGAAAAAAAUUUGACUCAACUGUUAAAUUUUUAAGGGCACUUACCAUAAUAUCCCUUAUCCAAGUAAACUUAAGCAAUGAGUGUUACAUUUAACACUGAACAUUCACUUGCAAAUUCAAAUACUUUAAAAUUGAAAUUUAACGAAUAAUUUCAAGUCCUUAUUAUGCUUUUAAGAACAUAAUUUGACUAAUAAAAAAAAUCAAUUGCAUGUAAAAUUUGUUUCAGGUCUCACAUAAAAUUUAAAUUUAUUAUAUGUUUUUGAAAUAUCUAUGUGCUUUUUUUAUAUCUUUUUAACGUUUUUAAAUUAGGAUCAAAUUAAGAUCAUUUAUAAAUUUUAAGAGUUAUUUUAAAAAAAAUUAUGAAUAAAUUAAUAUAAUAUGUCAUCCAUGCAAUUAAUGGAAAUGUACCCAAAAAAAACAAUACUGAUUUGGUAGGUGAUUAAUUUAAAAAAUUUCAUAGUUGAUGACAAAAAAAAUAAAUUUAUAAUUAAAUAGAAAUUUAAUAAAAUUCAUAGUUAAAUGACAAAAAUAAAAUAACCCAUAAUUGGGUGAUGUGUGUUGUACUUUACCCUUAGUCAUAUCUCCCUUUGAAAAAGAAAGUUUGUCUUCAGCGUAAACAAGGAAAGGAGAGAGAGAGCUGAUGUCAACUGGCACUUGGUGACAUGGAAAAGUCCAAACGAAUAUAAUCACAGGUUGAGAAAGAAAAAAUGAUUUAUGGGUUUUUUUUCUUUAAAUAAAAUAUAUUUUAUUUUCUGUUUUGUAACUUUGGUUUGGAUUUGUUGAUAUUCGGCCUUUUGUUCUGUCAUGCCCCAUCCGUCCAUAAAUUGAUUUUUGCAAUGACUGGACAUCUCUAUUAAGGCAAUAUGGUAACAUUUUACUGAAUUUAAAUCAGGUUAAAUUGAAUUUUAUAUUUUUAAUAGCAUAUCAUUAGGUAUAUACAAAAGUUUCUAAAAAAUAUACCAAUAAUUUUAAGAAUAUUUGUUAAAAUUUUGGUAUUUAUAAUAAAAAUUUUAAUAUACCAAAAUUGUGUUACAUAAAGAUAUAUUCCUAAUGAAAUAUCAAAAUAUCUAGAAGCUAUUGAGUCAAGUGAACCGCCUUCCAAUUAACAGUUUUAAUACAAACAAUCUGUGUAUACUUUGCAUAUAUUCCUAACAUAUGGUUAUUUUAUUUGAUUAAACAAUUAUUCCAAAAUUAUCUUUAUAGGGGCAAUUCUGUACAAAAUUUAGUAUAAUAAAUUGAAUAAUACUUAAAUUAAAAAAGUAAUAAAUUUAAUUAAUUAGUUUUUUAUUAUUAUUUGUUUUGAUUUAAGUAGGAUGAAUCAAAGUCAUUAAUGUUAUAAAAAAUAUCAAAAGUAAUGUUUAAAAUCCAAUCAUGAAAAUCUCAUUUUACCCCGAAAAUGUUACAUUCCUUGAACCAAAAGUAACCUAAAAGCCUAGUAUUUCAAUGUCUUUUUCUAAUAUUUUAGAAGGAAAAAAAAGAAGCUAAAUGGCAAAAUAAAGGAAGGGAACAUUAAUGGAAAUAACAAAGUAUUACACUCAAUAAAUAUAUCAAAAUCUGCUAAGAUUAAACAUCAGUUGAACACCAAAAUCCAGUUUUUUCUUUUUUAAAAAAACAAACAAAACAGAUUGAAGAACACCUAAACACUUGUGUUGGAAAACAUUGGCUCUAAGUUACAGCAUCAACUUCACCUCUUCUUUUUCAAAUCCUUGUAUCUCACUUCUUCUUUGCUGCUUCACUGGCCUUGGUCUGUUCAACAAAGCAAAAACAUUCAUAUAAUCAGCCUCAACAACCAUCAAUCGUAGAUUGAUAGCAGUUUGAGUAGAGUUAUAUGGUGAAAAUCAUCGAGUGAUAUUUACCUUUUUUACUCCUCGGAUCUUCUUAGCCCGAUUCUUCCUUUCCUUCAUUUGCUUUCUCGAUUUCUCUACCUUGGAAUCGAGUCCGUUCUGAAAAAGUCAUGCAAAAAAUAAUCAGCAUCUAGAAUCAUAUCUAGUCAAUUCAAAGAAACGGUGAAAGAAAUGCAACUCAUGACUAAUGAUGGAAAGACGAGGAAUAUGCAAUGGCAAGCCAGAAGAUUUAGAACCCAUUUUCGAUAUCAAAUAUCAAAUAACUUAAAUUCACGGAAACUUAUAAACUAUGGAUCAAUGCAUUACAUAUUUACAUUCUAUCUCAAGUUUUCUUCAAAACAAGGCAUUUAUAAAGCACAAAAUAGAUGAAAACUCUAGUUCCAUAUCCAACUUGUCAUUUUUUACAAUGAAAGCUGAUUUCAGAUUCUAUAACAUCACCAUUACGAGUUGUUUUCAGUAAACAGAUCGAAUGCAGUGUUUAGAGUAUGAAAAGAGAAUUCCACAAAUAAACUACAUCGAGAAAUAAACAUCAACAUACUAGACAUGAAGCAAAAGCAGUUUAAAAUACAAACAAAUUCCAGAGAAAAAGUACAGAAAAUACAUCAGAAAUUACCCUGAUUAGCCUAUACUUGGGCUCGUACUUCUUUGCGUUCUCAACAGAAUCAUAUAUCAAACCAAAUCCGGUAGAUUUACCACCUCCAAAAUGGGUUCUGAACUUGAACACAAAAAUUGAAUUGGGGUCCUUAACCUCGUACAUUCUAGCAAGCUUCUCCUUUAGUUCAGCCUAAAAACCCAAACCAACAUCUCAAAAACAGGAUAACACAACCAUGAAACCAAUCCAAAUUUUCGAACAUUUAUGAUUGGUGUAGUUCCGAAUCUUCAUUUUAUUUGAAGCUGACAUGUCCGACACAUAUUCGGGUAUAUGAUAAGACUAUAAUAUUAUUAGGAAAUGUCAAAGAUUUACCUUGGAAACAUUGGGCCUCCCAGGAUGCAAAACAUCAAUGAUCUAAACAAAAAAGAAGCAGCAAAUAACAAGCUUUAGCUACCAACAAUGAACUCAAACAGAUACAAGCUAAUAUUUCAUUUCUCAGUUCCCCCACCCCCAAGAAAACAAAUUAAGCAAAGUCCUAAAUUAAGCAUCUUAUUAUCAAAGUAAUAAAAUCAGCAUUAAAUUUUUUCACUUAAGUUCUUAUAUUCCUUUAAUGAGAUCUCUCAAAGAAUGUAAUAGAAAAAAUAAUGGAAGUCAAGUGAAAAACCCCAAGACUAAAAUUUAACAAUGACCCAUGUUUGACUAUCAACAAAGUAGAUGGAAAAUGAGAGUGAGAAAGAAAAAGAAAAGCUUACUCACAAAUUGUUUCCUGGAAAGUAGCCUGUUGGUCAUGAACUUCCUGGUCCUAAUAGUCACUGCCUUGUCCGCCAUGGUUAAGCAAGAAUCUUUCUCUUUUUUUUUUCUUUUUUUUUUCGGAGCAGUUAUACAGUGAAAGCUUUCACCAGCAGCACCAACUCUCAAGGAAAAGGAUUGUAUAUGGCAAAAAAAAAAAAACUAUCUUAUAUGAUUAGGGUUUCAGUUGAUUCUCGAAAAUAGAGAGUUAGGGUUUCAGUGGAGAGGGUUUUAGCCUUGAAUUGGGCUGUAAAUUUGGGGAUUUUGGUUUUCCAGGCCUGCUAUGUAAAGCCCAGUAUUUUUUAAUGCUGGUUAGAGGCAUAAUAAUAAAAUAAUUUAUUUUUUGAAAAUAUAAAAUUACAUAGAUUUGACAAAUAUAUAAAAUUGACUUUACGUGGAUGACCAUCUGUAAAUUUAUCACCAUAACCAUAGAUUUUCAUUAUUAAAAUAAAUAAAUAAUUCAAUUAUUAUUUUAAAAAUCAAUAGUGGAAAAUUCUUUAUAUUCUUAUUUAUUUUUCCCUUUAAUUUUAUAAAAAAAUUAUUUUAACAAUAAUUUAAUUUUUUGUUUUUUAGUCCUUAAACUUAUAUUAUUUAUCAAAUUAUCUCAAAAUAGAUGAAAAAAUUAACAUAUGUUAACUUUAUUGAUGUGGCAUCCAUGUGUAUGCUUUUAAAAAUUAAAAAUAUUAAAUAAAUAUAUUUUUUAAUUUUUAUACUUUUUUGAAUGUUUUAUAUUUUAAAAAAUAAUUAAUUGCUAAUAUGGUAUUACAUGGCAAUUCAUUUUGUAUCAAAAAUUAAAUAAAAGACUAAAAUGAAUUUUUUGUACAGUUGAAAGGUCAAAUAAAUCAUUAUGCCUUAUUAUUAUUAUUAUUAUCCAAACAUGGCAAUAGAGAAACAUUAUUAUGCCAUUAGAGCAGCUAGGAAAAUUCUUAUGAAAUGUCAAACUGAAAUUUUCAUCUUCGAAUAUAUAUCAAUCAACGUACACAAUACCAGAGUUUCUUAUAUUUAUAAUGACAAUAUUUAUUGAUUUAAUUCUUCAGAAAAAAAAAGAGUAACUUUCAACAUUUUCUCAGGAAAAUCCUCUGCAAUUUAUGCCUAGAGUGCUCACUAGGAGGCUCUGGAAGUAGCAUUCAAGAACAGCUCAACAUUGCAGUAGAUUAUAAAAGUAUUGUAGUAACUGCGUUGAGGAUUGUCCAACAAAUUAUUUAUCAAUGAUAGAAGAAUAUGAAUUUUUUACUUACGACCGUUAUGAAUUGAAUUAUAAUCAAAUUGUUUUGAGUCGUUCAUCAAUGUCAGUAAUUGUCGAUUAUAUAAUUCGACCGUACUCUAAAAAUCUGUAUGUAGCUAUGUGAGCCUUCCUGUGUUGGAACAGCUCGGAUAAGUAUUAGAUUAUAUGACUGCACAGAUAAGAAUUAAGAUAAAUGUAAGUGCAGCUAAUCCGAGUAUUGCACCGAAGAACCAGCAAAUCUUCUGGAGAAAACUCAGUGGAGUCGAAGUACUGCCUUGUUUCGUCUGCAACGCAAAAAGAGAUCAACAAAGCGAUUUGGAGCUUAAUUUGUGAACAAAUCUGUUUGAAAUAAGAAACGAAUACCUGCACUUGGCUCGUCAUCGAUACAUCGUUAGCCUGCACGAACAUAGCAACAAACAAGGCCUUUUCAGAAUGCAGAAGCUCAGGGAACAAUGAUUUUAAAUCUCAUGGAAAUACUAUGAACAUACAAUAAGUGGUCGGAAAAGCUCUCGAUCCUCUUCGGACAAGAAUGAUUUUGUUCGAUCUGCAAUCACAAGAUGAUUAACUCAAACAAAGUUGGUGAACGUUUGUUUGAAGGCAUUGAAAAGAGACCUUCCUAAGCAUCAGUUUCCAUGAUACGUGUAUGGUAAUGGCAUGCAAUGUAACGAUAGGAGAGAACUAGUUAAUUCCGGAGAGCAAACCGGUCCAUCCAUUCAUGCAGAUUACGACGUAACGCAGAGAAAUCGAAAUCAUAAUUGGAAAUCAUAUGCAUACUAAGAUGGUGAUGAUAGGAUCUUCUAGAUCACUAUAUUAGCUCAUUUUGUUCUAUUAGAAGUUGCAAAUCCUAUCCUUUACCCACUCCAAGCAUUCGGAAUAUAGAUCCGUUCUACCUUGUAUGUUGUCGGUGAUGAUUUUGUUCAUGUCGUUGUGAUUUCCAUGAAUCGAGUUUCCAGGCCUGCAAAGAAGAAGAAAAUUGCAAAGCUAAAUAAGUUCAAACCCUGCAGUUUCCAUAACAAUCUCUGUAUGCUCUCCCGUUAUCAUCAUAUUGACAUUGCUCCUUCUCGACCGGGAAGGUCAGGGGUUCGGGACAUGGUAACAGCCAGCCUCUCUGCAAAAUGCAGGGGAAAGGCUGCAUAUGACAAACAUCCGACCAUGUGCACCGGGAGACCACCCUAUUUAUCAACUAUAGACUUUCCGAAGUCAAUGGCCCGAAAUGAAAGAACCCCGACAUGAGAACCACAAUACCUGCUCGAAGUUGGUAAUGCAUACAGUCUAAGAGCCAAAGCUUUGAUUCUUAGCUGCAUAUCCGAUAGCAUCUUCCAUCUAUAGUCGAUAUCUUCAUUCGUUCUGCAAAUGUACUGCAGCAACAGGUUACUUAUGUAACAGAAUAAGAACAAAUCUAACACAUAGUUCAUCACUUCAGUUGAGAGUCUGAUACGUAUACAUAAAUACAUACAUUAUAUAUAUACAACAUUCAAGCAAUCCAUUUAUAGAUUUCGAUAAGGGGAGAAACAUUCUUCGAUGCUUAAGUCAAUAUAUUUCGAGUUAGGUUACCAUAAAAACAGAUUAAGAGCAGGAAAUUAAACAAACAAUCUAAGAUGCAACUUAGAGAGAAAUAUCAAACAUACAAAAUGGGUUUUGAAGGAGGGUUUCUAAGAAGUGAUUCAAGUCGAUCAAUUUUGAUCCCAACAUCUAAAAGCUUGGAACGAGCGGCAAUGUCUAUAACGCAAUUUCCAUGGUUUUGAAGUGAUGGGUUCUUGUUGUUUACUCUAUUUUCUAUGUCUUCCACCAACUUCAAUGCUUCUUCAGCUUCCCUUAGCCAUGCAUCCGCCAUUAAAGCUUGGUUGUACAUCUUCAAAAAAGUAAUUGUUGUGAUUCAAAAGGAAAAACAACAGCAAUGUCUGGUCUAAUGACUCAAAAAUAUGAACAACUCAACCAAUGGUAUUGUGUCAGAUCAGAGGAAACUUAUAUGGAAACUUUGUUGAAUUAAUUAUUUUUCCAUUUAAGUUACUUUUUGGGUGUUAAAAUGAUUGGAGUUUCACCUAUUGUGGUUAGCCAGCUAAGAUCAUCUGCAACGGGCAAGGUUUUUUGUCCAUGAAAAUCAUAUGGUCUGCAAUUUUUCUCUUUAUUUUUUUUAUUUUUCACGCGAGGACAAUUAUUACAAGCAGUUCCAUGAAAAGGACAUGAUUUGACAGAUUGUCAAUGUUCGAUCCAAGACAAAGGUUUGUGAAAACUGAAAUGGAAUAAUUUUUUUUAGUAAUUAAAUCCGGACAUCUGUGUAUUUUAGUAAUAUUAGCUUUAACAUGUAAAUAAUUUAUUUAAUUAUUUAUAUUUAUAUUUUUUUUAAUUAUUUGUCAUUUGUAUUAUGCGAUGUAUUAUCCUAUCUAAAUAAAAGUACAGGAAAAAAAAUAUCAAGGAAUUCAAACUGUUUUCUUUUAAUUAUUUGAUACUAUGAUCUAGAUUCCACAAUGGUUGUUUGAUUAUAUCAAAAAAAAAUGAAUGAACCAAAUUUGAUUUGGUAUUGGAACAAAACAAUGGUUUCUUUUCUUCCAAGUAAAGUUUUCUCAACUCUUACUCAAACCCCUAACCUAGCCAAUUCAAGUUUUUCAAACCUCCAAUUCUUUUUCCCCAUCUUCAAGCUCUUCACAGCUUUGUUUUAUGGAAUCUUUACUCCAAACUCGGCUUUUCUUACCGGAUUUCGAGCUCCACACGAUUUUGUUGAUGACUUCUUAAAUGAAACAAAGUUUGCUUGGAAUUUUUAUCAAUGGAGUUUUCAACGGAACUAUUACGAUUUUCCACUUGUCUCAAUUGAUGGAUAAGUAUGGAUAAGUGAUUAAAUAGAAACUUGUUUAGGCUCCUAUAACCUCAAUUUCUCUUCUGCCAUUGUCACAUCGGCUGGCCUCUCCAACUUCAUACCAACAUCCUCUGAAUGCAGUCCUACUCAUGACAUCCUAGAUUAAAAACCGAAUUGCACAACAUGAUACGAUUCUUGAAUCAAAGUUUAAAGAGAACCAAUAUGUACCUCCAUCAACUUGCCAAGAUCGAACUUGGGAGCCUUUCAGGAUCUUGACUUUACGAAUGAAAACAUUUAGUAAGGGAUAAAUACUUUAUGCUACUUCUCAAUCUCUCUACCAAUGACCUCAGGGAUGAACCUUGCGAACAAGUUCUUUCAGAUCAUAUGAAGAGGCCUGGUUAAUCAUAAUUUUUCUCAUUUUCCGACGAAUCUGACAAAAUAACAGUUAGUAUGAAACAUUGAAUAUAAGUCAAAAUAUGUCUUAAGAAAUCGAGUCAGGAACAAAAUUUUUGAACCAGACAAAUCUGGCUGGAUAGAGCAUAAUAGGUUCGCUUAACCUCGUUCGAUAGUCUUAACAUUGACAUAGGAUUCCAUCAAAAUAUGUCUUAAGAAACGCAUUUUAACCGGCACGGCUCAUAUUUUAGCUUCAAAAUACUUGGUUUAAACAUAUUGUCUCUCAAAUUGACAUAUGCAAUGUGCUCUACAAACUAAUUAAUUUAUCAAAACAAAAAGGAUCACAAGGAUUAAAGCUAUAAGCCUGUAACUAUUAAUCCAUGCUAAGAAUCCCCUUAGCAUUGUAGCUUCAAUUCCUAAACAAUAAUUGCUUCAAUCAGAUCGUUUUGAAUACCAUUUAAGAACAUUCGAACUGUGAAAUAAAACAUAGAAAGGAGCAUUAAAAGAAUAAAAAAGAAAAGGGUUUUGCCAAUGUUCCUUUCAUUGAACAAUGAAGGUGCCUAAAAAAAAAAAAAAGAAGAUAGUCGAAAAUAUUCGAAUCCAUAAUAUUUGAUUAAGAAAAGACAAUAUGACCUCUAAAAAAGCUCGAAUCAACACUAUCCAUUACGAUCUUGAUCGAAAACACAGAAAUGACAACAAUGUAACUUAAAAUUUAGCAAAGAUUGAAACAUUUUUAAGAUAUUAAAACAUUCCUGAAAAUUAUCUUUGGACCCCUUAUGGGGCAAUAAUCAAAAAGCUUUGAUUCAAUGUCGUUAGGGUUUAACACUAAAUUUUCAAACUUCUUAAAGCAGAAGUAAGCAAGCCUAGUUUAUCAUCAGCUUUCUGCCUGUAUUCUUUCUCCAAGGCUUUUGCUGCCAAAGACUGCAGCUCUGGACUCUCCUUGUCUUCCUUGUUCCUUCCUUUUGAAACCUGUCCGAUGGCUGAUGUGCACUGAACAAGAGGAUUCAAACUUUGGGUCAGAAAGAUAAAAUACGAGGACAUUGAAAAGAGUGAGUGUGAAACCCUUCUUUUUCCAGUAAGAUUUCAGUUAGUAUAAAGAUGAAGGCCAGUGCAUGAGUUCUCAAAAGAGAAGGAGCUUACCAAGCAAACUCCAAGAAGUGCUCUGGUAUUCUUGCCUCCAGUCAAGUCAAUAGUCGAUGCAUAGUAUUUCUUCGAGGUCUGAAGGUUUUCCAGUCCACCGAGUGUGUAAAGUACCUGUUGAUGAAAAAGCAUAGUGCGUAAUCAAUGAAAACAAGAAUUCAGAGGAGAAUCAGAAGAGUUCGAGCUAGAAAUCUUUUGCUGAACCAAUGCAAGGUGAAAAGCAUUAUCCUGUGAAACUGUAAAGACUCGAAACUCGUGCUUGUGAAUUUCCUUUUGUGGGACAAAACAGUAAGGUUUUCGAGUAAAAACAAACAGUAUCUCCACACAAUGGUAUCAAUGCCAGUUUGGGUGCAGGGCUCCACAGAGGAAGACAGAUCCAACGUCUACCUGGGAGUUUCCUUCUUGGUUGGGAAUCAUUGGUCAUUUGCAUUUUUGCAUAACCACAAUCACUAAGGAAUUGGUUCUUUGUUUUAGGAUCAUCCUAGCAGAAUCAUAAUUACUACCGAACCAUUUCUUUGUUCAUUGAGCUCAUUAAGAGCCGAGAAUAUACUUAAAGAUGAGCGUUUACAAAGGGAAUGCUAUUCUCUAGGAAAAUUGGAAUGUGAGAAACUGCUAAUGAAAUUGCAUACCAGUUUCUAACUAUGAUAGUUUGAGUUUUCAUUUUCCUUGAAGUAUCCUUAUCCAACAUAUACUGGACAUGGGUAAGGAGGUACGUUCCUCUUAAAAAAACUGAGCAUACACAUGCCAGAUACAUACUCAUAUUUCGAUAAUCAACCCCCCCCCCCCAAAAAAAAAUUCCGAGUAAAAGAAGUUUUUAACUACAAUAAAGAAGAAACUUACAUCAGCAUAGGCCAGAUGAUACAAGGGAACUGUUGGUUGAGAUAAAAUAAGCUCCUCAUAGCAGAAAGCGGCUUGUUUGUACCUGAUUUAUCAACCAAAAAAACAAAAAAAAAAAAGAAGCUUAAAUCACUGCUAUUUUAUGAUUGGCAACAUAGUUAAGCUGUAAUAGAUUAAAACUCACAUUUGUAGGGAGACAUAUAUCUCUGCAAGUUCUCUCCAAGCAUCAUGAUCUGCCAUAAAUCUAUCAAAAGAAAAAUGGGGAAAUUGAGUGACAUUUGCUCUGUUGUAUAGUAUCGAAUUAGGAAAAUGUGUGACAGCAGAAAGGGGGAAAGAGAGACAGAGUUUUCUGAGAUAUCUCACAUUUCAAGAUAUUUAUUAAGCGACUCAAUAGCCCCUGAAAUAUUUCCUUGAGCCUUUGCCAUGGCUACUUUCCUCUUAUGUAUUACCUGCCCAAGAUAGGGUUUAUUGUCAUUGGUUUCUUUUUUGUUUUUUAUAAAAGAAAUAACCAAUUAUAUUUCUCUUUUAUCCAUUACAACUGAUUCUUUUUCAAGAAAGGCAGAGAGAAGGAGGGGAAGCGAGGGUCGGAAAGUGGUCACAGAAUUUACUUGAUCAAGUGGAUUGUCCUCUAAAAGACUAGAGUAAACUUUUUCAGCCUCAGCCCACAAUCCCUUUGCUUCAAGCAACAUGCCCUCCAGCCUCCCUGUAGACCAUGACAAAACAAAACCACUAGGUCAUCAAAUGUUCGGGGACAAUGAAUACCUUCGCCAGCAUCCUAUGGAAUCCAAAAUUAUACAAGAACUGUUUAUGUUUAUCCAUCCUUAUUCAAGCCAUAAUAUAGUAACAUAAAAGCCCAAUAAGGUUUGGAGUAGAAUAUUGACUGAGAUGUUUGGAAGAAGCUUAAUUCAAGUGUGUUAAUGAUGAAAAGGUAAGCCAUGAGUUUAUGAUUCACAAAUCACUGAAACUACGGCAUAAAUUAGUGUCAACAUAUAUAUACCCUUUUCGUAACACAAACGGAAAAUGUAGAACAUAUUUAACAGUCAUAUAUACUUACCAACCCUUUUGCUCUCUGGAAAUUUUUUCAGUAGAGCCUUUAUACAAUCCUGCAACAAUAAAUUGUACCAAUUUAAGACAGGUAACUUCACAAAUCUACUACCAAAGCAUCUAUGCUAAACAGCACUGUGAUUCAAGAAACAACGUAAUAUGCAGAUAAGCAUACAAACUGUUUCACUGGAGCCCAAACCAACAACAUUCAAUAAGAGUUACACCAUUUUGCAUAUAAAACAGGCAAAAGUCAUAUCUUCCUAACUAAUGGCUUCAUAAGUGAUGAGAAAACUGUAAGAACAAGCAAGACCUUAAAGAAUUCUUUCCAUCAAAAAAGAAAAUUACUCUUAACAUGUUCGAAAGAGAAAUCAUAUAAACAAUGAGAGUGGUCAAUCCAGAGGCGUGAUCAAUAUUUAAAUAGGAAACAGUAGAAUUAGUUUUACACAUAUAUGCAAGUCCAAAAUGCGAAAAUCAAUUUAACAUAAUAUGAAAACGGAAAAGCUUAAAAGAAAUCUAAAAUUGAAAAACUCAUAGACAAGAUUUGUACCUUUGCAACGUUGAGACAUUGGCAAUCCAUAGCAGCAAUAGCUACCUGCUCAUACAAAGUCCAUUCUGUAUCAAGAUAUAAGUACUUGUUAGUAAUUAUUACUGUUUACCGCUAUAAAUCAACUGAAGUAAAUCGCAAUAUAAAAUGAGAACUCAUAAAUCACAUUCCUAUAGAUAAAAUAACACUGAUUCACUGAUGCUUAUUGCCCUUCGAGGUGUAUAAAACUCAAUACAAAGAGAAGCACUGGAUGAUGUCACGGCACAUGAGAAAAAUGUACAAAACUAAGAUGAGUUCUUGUAUCUAAAUGCAGGUAUAAAAUUAACCAAAAGUCUCAGAGGUAUAAAGCAUUACAAAUUGUGCUUCAUCAAGCUUACCUAACUAUUUUUGUUUACUUCUCAAAACCUCAGCUGGGAAAUGAAUAUAAUGAAAACUCAACCCGACUUUCUUACAAAGCUAAUUCUUAUUUUAAUGCCUACCAAUUCAAAUCAAGCUUAUUUCACUUUCAAUUUUACACACAAAUAUAAAAUAUCUAAUUUAUAUAACUCAAAUUAAAUCAAAAUGUCAAUCUUUUUCUUAAAAAAAUCAUUAAGCUUCAAGUUUUAAAUUCAAGCAAAUCAACAACAGGGGCAACAAUUCAUAAAGCUUUGAAUUCAAGCAAAACCAAUAGAAAGAACUAAAAGACUAAACUCUAAAACCCCAAAAAACCCCAAUCACAAAAACUCAAAAUUCAAGCGAAACACUUUAGAAUCAUUGAAUUCAAGCAAAACCCAAAUCCACAAGUCACCCAAAGAAGCUAAAAGGAAGACUAACCUUCAGGGCCAAGAGCAGAUCUUUUCUUGGGAUCAUUUAAGAUGGAUAAACCAUAUUUCAAGACUUUCUCUGAACGCCUAACUUUGAGCUUUCUCACAAGGCAAAGGUACUCCCAAGCACCUCCUCCUCCAUUAUCUACCUGGUUUUCAAGCCUGUUCAAUUGGGUCUCCUCUGUUUUGCUCACCAUCUCUCAAUGUAAACGUUUUUUUUCCCUUUUUUGGGGGGUAUUUUUUAGAUUUUUCUUUUAUCAAAUUUGCUCUGCCUUUGGUUUUUCUCUAGUCUAUCGCCACUGGCCUGUAGAUUGGAUCUCUAACUAUAGGGUGGGAUUUUAAUUAAGAAAAUAUUUGGUAGAACGCUAUUGGAAUUUUUAAAGAGUUACGGGUGAGUAAAUAUCCCAUAAAAAUAUUUUAAAAAAUAUAUGUCAAAAUUUUAAAAUUAUUUAUAAAAAAAUUAUUAAAAUAGUUACUUUUACUUUCCUUAAUUUACAUUUUAAUAACUUAUAUUAUCGCGGUGUAACAUUUUUAUUAUUGAACUGUUAAUUAUCGUAAAAGUUAUAAUGGUAAGCUACCAUGUCAUGAUAAAUAAUCAUUUCAAACAAAAAAAUUUAGGUUAAUUUAUACAGCUGGCCACUAUGUUUUUUUAUUUUAAGCAAUUUAAAUUUUUUUCUUAUAUGUUUUUUUAACUUUCUUUUUUUUCAUGCUUUUCUCUUUUUCCUCUAAUUUUGUCUCUUCCCUAUUUCUUUUUAACUUAGUUUUUCUUGUUAUUUGUUAAAAAAACUAGUUUAAAAAAAAUAAAGAAGGGAGGAAAAUAGAAGGAAACGUAGAAGAGAAUAAAAAAUUAAAUUAAAUUACUUAAAAUAUAAAAAAUGACAAAUUUUAGAAUUUAAUCUAAAGUUUUAUUUGAAAUGAUAAUUUAACGUGUCACGUUAACUUACUCUCAUACCGUUAUUUGUAAUUAAUGAUUUAGUAAUUUAAACGUAACAUUUUAAAUAUAAAUAAUUAAAAUAUAAGCUAACGCAAAUAAAAGUAAAUACUUACCCUUUAAAUAAUUAACCUUUUUCUUAAGCGCUUGCCUUCUUUGUUUUGUAGUUUUUUUUUUUUUUUGGUAUGAUAGUUAACACAAAUCACUUAUUUAUUUUUGCUCAUUCAAAUCAUUAAUGUAUUGAGUCUUAUUACUAUAAAUAAAUACCAUAGUUACUCACGUAUAUGAUUUCUUUUUUGUCUAAAUCCUUAAAUAAGGUAAAAAAUAAUCUUCUAGGAUUUGCUUCCAACUUUCACAAAUUGUGAAACAAAAGUUAAUCUUUUUAAAAUUAUUAAAAUAAAAUAGUUUAAUUACGCACGAUCUUAAUAUUAUAACAAUUGACGUCAUCUACGACAAAAAGCUAUAUUUUUACGCUUAAACGGUUAAGAUUACUAUAAACAAGAAAACCAAGGCUUUCCCAUUUAUUAACAUUGGAACAAGUCUCUAGUAAAUGGGUUACGAUAACCUGAUAGAGACUUGCCAUCUUUCUUAACUCGCACUCAUCCUCUCCCUUCCAACUCCCUUGUUUUGAUUAUAUUUAGCUUGAGUCAUUCGAAUUUUUAAGUAUUUUAAUGUUUGACUUUAAUAAUUUGUGUGUAUAAUAUUAUUUCUAAAAUAUAUUUAAUACAUAAUUAUUUUUUAAUAAAUAUUAAAAAUUUCAAUUUGAACAGCAUAAAUAAUAUAAGAAAUGAGAUAAAGCAAAGUCAAUAAUUAGAUAUUUAAUUCAAAUCAAAAUCUCACUUUAAAAGUGAAUCCAGUUAUACUUGAAGUUAAUUAGAUAUUUAAUUCAAAUCAAAAUCUCACUUUAAAAGUGGAUUCAGUUAUACUUGAAGUGAACUUCAAAUUUCAAGUCCUCUCCAAUAUCUAUAAAGCUCAAUUCAACUUGAUUAUUCUUAAAUCUUGGGUUAUAAGUACACUCGUUUAAGGAUCGGAUUAAAAAGAUUUUCAAGAAUCAUAUUAUUCGAUUAGUUUAAAGGUUCAUUUGAUAUUUGGUAGAAUUUCUUUUUGUGCCUUCAAUUUAACUUGAUACAGAAUUCACCAAUGUGAAUGUGAAUAUAUUAGUCAAUGAAAAUGAGAGAAAAUAAGAGAUAAAAUAUGUAUAAGAGCAAUAAAAAAAAACAUAAAACUUAUGAAACAAUCAGGAUUAUUUCUAACAAAACAUGAAAAAACAAUUAUAACACUACAAAAUAUGACAACAUUAAUAUAUAUAUAUAUAUAUAUAUAUAUAUAUAAACACAGCAUUAGUACAUAGAUGAUUACUAACUACAAAUCAGUGGGAGAAUUUUGGUUUAUUUGGGUAAUGCAGGCUUCAGCUCUCACUGAACAUUGAUGGAAAUCCAAAGCUUUAGUAACUCAUCAAUACAAACUAUCAGUCUUACAGUGGUUGCAGUUUCCUGGGAAAUCCAUUCACCAAAAACCAUAAAGUUUUUGUUUUUUAAACCUUGGUGUUGUUCUUUGGUGGUGUAUUGAUAUAUUUCCACGUGAAUUGCAUUAAAUUUUCAGGCAAAGUAGCCCCUGCAACUUCAUUGAUUGGGAUUAUUUCUGAAAUUUCUUUCAAAUCUUCUUCUGUCAGCUUUACUUUCAGUGAUUCAAUGUUGCUAUCAAGAUUUUUUUUUUUAUCUUGGUUGUUCCAGUAAGAAGUCAAAAGAAACUUUUAAAAGCUAUGAUCUUUUGGCUCAAGAUUUUUGAGGCCCUUUAUGCUGCUUCUGCUGUGAAUUCUAGUCAAAUAUAUCUGUAGGCUGCUAUAUUAUUUCGACUCUUCAUUUUCUUUAACAGUAUCCGCAUCCAGUACUUCACAUAUUUGGAUAUGGCGUACCUGUGUCCAACUCAUAUCUGGGCAUAAGUAUCCGGAUGUGAUCCUACAAGGAUCCUUGAUCCUUGAUAUACAUGAAACUUUGUCCAAUAGUCAUGCUUCAAUCCGAGUUACAUGAUACAACAAGGGAGUCCAGGUUGAAAAUGAUUGAAUGUGACUUACCAGGAAUAGGGGCAACAUCAUCCCCUUGAUGAAGAACCCAGGCAAGUGCAAAUUUGACGCUGUACAUACAUGCUUUUCAGCCAACUUCUUUACUUUCAAAUAUAAGAUCCUGUUUUUGUCCAAGUUUUCUCCUUGAAACCUUGGGAACAUUGCCUUAAAAAGUAGAUAUUUGUAAUCAGUCAAUGAAUCUAUCUAUUAAGACUUAAAAGGGUUAUUACUGUACAAGAUUAAAUUCAUAUGUACUAUUCAUUUUCCAAGUAUCUCUGUCUGACAUAUGUGUUUAACAUGUAUUUGGAUAUAGAUACAAGUAUGAUCCUUUGUAUAUAUAGAAAAACUUACCAAAAGCUUAGAAUCCUCGUGUCAGAUACACAAUAGUAUCUGACAGUGACUUCUGAGUCCAUGUGACAAGGGUUUAAAAGCCAAAAUAAGGAGAGUUUCAUACCAGAUAACUAUUUCCAGAGAAACCUUGACCAAGGGGACUGUAUGGAACAAUCCCAAUUCCAAGUCCCUUGCAUUGUUGAAUGCAUUUUACGUAGGCAUGAUCUCAUAGGAGUUGGAAAGAGUUAAUUGUUAAAAAGCUUGAGUAUCUUGAGCCUCAAGAAUACUCGAACAACAUUUAACUUGGGAAAUGAAAGACUAUCAAUAAUCGAUUUCAAUCUAUGAUAGCUAGACUUUUCAUUUUCUCUAAAGGAUCCGUAUUCAAUAUGUUUGAUAUAGACAAGAGGGUAGAGUAUGAUCAUUCCGGAAAAAAAAAACCCUAACAUUUUUGAAAAUAUUAACAUUGAACACAUAUAUGUAUUCAACACUAGUUCGAGUCUGGAUAAUGAUUCAAGAUAGAGGAAGAAACCUGCAAAGGGUAGUUCGAGUCUGGAUAAUGAUUCAAGAUAGAAGAAGAAACCUGCAAAGGGGAACUACUUCUUCCUCAAUGAGUCCAGAGGGCCCACUCCAUUUGUACGGCAGUAAUGGGAUGAACAGCGUGUGCCCUCCUUAUAGUUUCAGGGCUAGCUUCAGAUAUACCAAUAUACUUUAUUUUUCCCUCUUCCACGAACUUCUUACAGUUCUUCCAUCUUACAUACAUAAAAUAAAUAUAAAUAUACUUAAUUUUUCCAUAAAAUAAAUAGUAUUUGACAUCUGAGCCUAACAUAUAUUUGGACAUACAGGUAUCCAAUGGUCACCCUUAUGUCCAGGUUCUACCUAAUAUGGGUAUGUCCCCAAGAAGAGAAUGUUUAGAGGUCCAUAUUUAUGCCGAACACAUACAUGUGUUGGACACUCAUCCUUGAGUCCAAAUAACAUGAGUUUUAAAAUGGUUUCCAACUAGGCAUGCACACUCAAGAUGGAUAGUAUGUACCCGAUAAGCAAUGUUUUCGGAACUGGACCGGUGGUAGAACCGGUCAGACUGCCAGUUCCCGGUCCAUCCGAUUCAAAUCAAAUAAAUUAUUUAAAAAAUAAAAAAAAAUUAAAUAUAUAUAAUUGUAAAAUCUGGUUCAACUGCUUCAACCAGUCUGUACUAGUUUGAGGAUCAACCAGCUUUUUUGCCUUGUUGCAGACCAGUGUAUCAGCUGGUUCCCGGUCCAACCAGCCGGUCUGGUCAGGUUCUGAAAACACAGCCGAUAAGGAAAUGUUUGGAUGAUUAACCUUUAUAUCCAUUUUCGAAUAUGCCUCAUACACAAAUAUUUUAAAAAAACUGAAAACCAAUAACAAAGGGUUUCUAAUGCAGCAAUACUUACAGUCUCCUCUGUAGGGGUCUUGGUGUCAACUCUGAUUAUAUAGUAAAGAUCAAUGUAAUCCACGUCAAGGCGUUUAAGGCUACUCUCAAGAGAAGCACAAACGUAUUCAGGAGUGCCACUGACAACAAGACCACCUGGACCAAUGCUUUCAGCGCCAAAUUUUGUAGCCAACUGUACCUUCUCUCACGGUAACUGCUUCAAUGCCUGCAAAAUAUUAAAAUAAAUUAGUUUUGUGUCCAUACAAGUCAGUUGUAUUGAAGAAAGUGAUUCCUUUUUCAAAUGCGUGCUUAAUGAUUAUUAUGCCAACAUCAUCUGAGACCGGAUCGUGAAAGAUCCAGAAUGACCCGUACACCCAAACCCUAACUUUGAAACCUGCAAACAAAAACAAGGGAUUUUACAACAAAAAAUGCAUUUUCUUAGCUAAUAUAAUUAAUAAUAACGAAACCUAAAACCUCAAGUCCUUGAGUUCCAAGUUUCACUCGAGGAAUCUGAACUCUCUGCUGUUCAUCAACCAUCGUUUGUUUCCUUUUUCUUCUCAAUGGAGGCCUUUCUGAUUAUAUAGCAACUCAAAAAAUAUCGUAAAAAAGAAGGAACUAUAAAAUAAUUCUGAAUAUGUCACCCCAUAGGUAAUUGAUUUUGACUACUUUGUUGCAGACAUUCAAAAUUAAGCUAAUGGAAGAACUAUUAAAUAAGAUAUUGAAAAAAGAGGCAAAAAAUUGGUCAAAAGAGCUAAAUAAUCACGACAUGUGUUAUCAGAUAAACAUUCAAAGAAUUAUUAAAUCAUUUCUUUUUUAAUUUACACCCUAUCUCAUAGGACCAAAACCAGUUUCUACAGCACACGUUAAUAUCUUGAGUUUAUAGCACUGUAGGGCCACAGAGCCUAUGAACCAAAGCAGGAUUCACAAGGAACAGAGUGAAGCAUUUGUUGCCUAUGAUGAGUAAGUGGUCACAUUGCCUACGCAAUAGUAGAUAAAAUGAACCUACUACAGCCCCAAAACACAGUACUAAUGGAAAUGGAAAAGCAGGUCUACCAACAAAUCUUAGGCAUGAUGCUAACAGAUUCAUUUUGAAAAUGCCCUGUUAUGUUAUAUGCUAUUGGGUUCAUAUGGCUACUUUUAAGUUCAAUGUUUCAUCGCUUCUAUUUCAGUUAUACAAUGUUUGACGACUAAUGAAAACAGAAAGACAAGCACUACCAAAUAAUCUUAGGCAUGAUGCUAAUGGACUCACUCUGAAAAUGUUAUGUUAUAUGCUAUUUGGUUCAUAUGGCUGCCUUCUGAGUUCAACGUUUCAUUACUUCUGUUUCAGUUCUAGAAUCUCAAUGACUAAUGGAAAAGCUGGCCAAACAAAGAAAUCUCAAGCAUGAUGCUAACAGAUUCACUUUAAAAUGUAUUGUUAUAUGCUAUACGGUUCAUGUAGCUGCUUUCAAGUUCACUCUUUCAUUUCUUCUAUUUCAGUUCUACAAUGCUCAAUGGCUAAUGGAAAGGCAGGCACUACCAAUAAAUCUCAGGCUUGAUGCUAACAGAUUCACUUUGAAAAUGUCUUGUUAUAAUGCUAAUGGCUUCAUAUGGAUGCUUUCAAGUUCAAUGCUUCAUUGCUUCUAUUUCAGCUCUACAAUGUUCGAUGACUAAUGGAAACCAAAAAGGCAGGCACUACAAAAUAAUCUUAGGCACGAUGUUAAGGAUUUAAUCUGAACAUGUCGUUUAUAAGCUAAUUGGUUCACAUGGCUGGUUUCAAGUUCAAUGUUUCUUUCCUUCUAUUCCAGCUCUACAAUGUUCAAUGACUAAUGGAAAGGCAGACAAUACCAAGAAAGCUAAGGCAUGAUGCUCAAGCGAAAAUGUCUUGCUAUAUGCUGAUGAGUUAAGAUGGCUGCUUUCAAGUUCAAUGCUUCAUUCCUUACACUUCGAUGCUCGAUGACAAAGGAAACAGGAAACACAAGUAUAACCAGCAAAUCUUUCAUGAUUAGGUGUGCUCGGGUGCAGCCAGAAGGAGCAAAACCCCUUAACAGCUGCACCAGGCAAGGCUAUUUCAAAGAUGCGAAAAUUCCAAAAAACAAAGCAGGCCAUUACAAAAACCAUGCAAGCAUUGGACGGUUCAGGACAUUUCCAAAUCCCAAUUAUUCCACAAUUUACAAUUAGUCUAAUACAAGAUCAAAAUCAAUAUUUUAGCAACAAAUUAUCCCACAAAUGAUCUAAAGAACAACUUAAAUAAACCCAUAAAUCAAUCCAACCAAACUUCAAAAAUAACCAAAAGAACAGGGAAACUAGAUAGACCAUUGCAAGUAUAGAAGCACAACAUAAUCAUUGACCAAUUCGUCAAUUUUAUUUCCAAAAUCCUCAAUUAUUCCACAAUGUUCAGUUACUCUACAGUACACAGCAGCAAAAUCCGAAACAUUUGCAUUAAUCCCCGCCCCCAAAACCCAGAAUCAAAAUCCCCUCAAAUAUGAAAUAACAACAAUGCAACUUCCACCUCACCUUUGCCUUCUUCAAUCACUUAGUCAUAACUUCCACACCUGUCUUCCCAGCAAUAAUAACAGAGGUAGCCAUCCCUAAAAACAACCCAUGUUCCACUACACCUUCCAUGGCAGAAAUCUCUUUCCCAGCUGCAAACCCAUCUUUUAUUGGAUUCUUGAAAUACAAAUCCACCAUGUAGUUCAUAUUAUCAGUCACGUAAGGCUUUUCACUACCAUCCCCUGCUAAUCUCAACUUUGCUUCACAACCCAACUCUUUGAACAAUCCUUCAAGUCUAACCAAGUUAUAUUUCCAACAAAACUGCACAACUUCAACAGGCAUGGCUAAACCACUCCCUCCAAGCCCUGAAACAAGCUUGCUAUCAUCAGCCACUACAAUGAAAGAAGAUGAAGCUGCUUCAACCAUUUUCUCUCGCAAAAGUGCACCCCCACGGCCUUUAACUAAGUCGAGGUUAGGGUCAACUUCAUCAGCACCAUCAAUGGCGAGAUCAAUAUGGGGAUGCAAGUCAAGGGUGGAUAAAGGGAUAUUAAGUGAUGCAGCUUGCUCUUGGGUUCUUUUUGAGGUUGGGAUUCCGACGAUGUUAGAAAGUUGACCGGUGGAAAGGAGUUGACCCAGUUUGUCAACCACAAAGGCAGCUGUUGAGCCUGUUCCUAGGCCUAGGACCAUACCUGACUUGACUGACUCAACCGCUUUGUCAGCUGCAAGCUUUUUGAGCUCAUCUUGGGAAAGGACUGGGGCAGAUUGGGACCUGAUGGAGAAUGAUUUCUGGGUUCGAGCCCGGUGGUUAAGAGGAGUGGCGCGUGGGGUAAAACGGGUGGCGGAGGAGAGGUGGAGGAAGGAUAAGGAGGCCAUUGGCUUUUGUUUCGGGGGCUUGUUUUGGCCUUUUCUUCAUUCUGAUUUUAUCUAUGCUGUUCGUGCUGUUUGUGUUAGGUGAACUUUGGGCUAAAGGUAGAAGGUUAGGAAAAGGACUAUUAAAAAAAGAAAAAAGAAAAAAAGAUAGAUAUCAAAAUUAUACCUCAAAUUUGAUUUUAUGUACAAUUUAAUAUAUAAAAUUUUAUUUUGUGCAAUUAUACCCAUAAAACUUUAAAUUUGGUUCAAAUAUUUACAUAAAAUUUUGAUUUUGAUUUAUUUGUGGACAUUUAAAGAAGUAAAUACUUUUAUGUUGCUUAACUGUAAUUAUUUGUGUAUGCAACAUGUAAACUUAAAAGGGUAUUAUAUCAAUAAUGGUACUAUUAGUUUAUAAAAAUUGAAUUUAAUCAAAAUGUCAAAUAUAAAUUUAAUAAAAUUUAAAUUUAUGUAUGACAUUGUAAAUUAAACUAAAAUUGAUUUAUAAUUUUAAGAUUUAUCUUUUUUAAAUAAAAAGAUUUUAAAGGUGUCAUUGUAAAUUAUUGGGAUUUGAUUUUUUUAAAGAAAUAACAAAUUUAUUAAGUAAUUGUAAAGUUGGAGCAAUUUAAGCUUUCAUGUAGGUCGAAUUUAAAUAUUUUAAAACUUGGUUUCGAGUAAUUAAAAAUUUUACUUCUCUUUGUUAUUUUUAAUAAAUAUCGAAAAUUUAAUUCGAAUUUAACCUCAAUCUUAAGUAUAAAUCAUUCAAAUUAAAGCUAAAAACAGAAGUCAAAUUUAUUUUUUAUUACCUGAUUAAAUAUUUGUGCCUUCAGUUUAACUUAAUACAGAAUUCACCCAUAUAAAUGGGAUUAUAUUAUUAUGAGAGAACAGUAUAACAAUAGAAAGGUAUACUUAUCAAACAACAGGUAAAACCUUAUUCGUCCAAGUAAAGCUAAGUAGAAACUUGGACUUGAUUAUUUCGAACACGAUACAAAACAUGACACAAUAACAUUAGAAUAAAGACAUAAACCACAGUAAUACAUGAAUUGGGAGAUUACUAGCUACAAACCACAGGCAAGAGUUUGUUUUAUUUGGGAAAUACAGGCUUCACCUCUCACUGAACCCUCCAUUAAUGGCAAUCCAAAGCUUUUGUACUGCAUCGAUACGAGCUUCCACUCUUUCAGUGGUUGCAGUUUCCUCUGUUCACCAGCACGCAUAAAACUCUGUUUUUAAACCUAGGUGCUCUUCUUUGGUGGUGUAUUGCCGUAUUUCCAAGUGAAUUGCUUUAAAGAAUCAGGAUAAUUACUCCCUGCAACCUCAUGGAUUGGGAUCGCAUCUAUAAUUUCUUUCAAAUCUUCUUUUGUCAACUUUACUUUCACUGAUUCAAUGUUGCUAUCUAGAUUUUCUAUCUUGGUUGUUCCUGUAAGAAGUGAAAACAAAGUGUCAAAAACUUUGGUCUUAAAUCUUAAUGGAAACUAUAUAAAAAUUGGCAUUUUGGUACAGGAAUUUUCAGGCCAUUCUUAUGAUACUCGAACUUGUAUCGGAGUGUCCAACACAGAUAUGUUCAUUUUCCUAUAGUUUUUACAUAUAUUUGGAGAAUUUUUAGAAGGUCGUAUGCCCCAUAUCAUGUCCGAAAAUAUGCUGGACAUAGGUAUUGGACACAGGCACUUAUAGAAAAAAUGGAGAGUACAAACAACAUAGACUUAUGCUAUUUCUGCAGGUUACUAUAUUACUCCGACUCUUUUCUUUUCUUUUUCAAGUAUCUGAGUCCAAUAUUCCGCAUAUUUUGACAUGAGUGUUUAAUUUAACCCUCCAAAUAUAUCAAAAAAACUUUAAAAAGACACUCAUAGUGGAUCACCUCAGAAUCCAAGUUGAAAGUGAUUGAAUGUGACCUACCAGGAAUAGGGGCAACAUCAUCCCCUUGAUGAAGAACCCAGGCAAGUGCAAGUUGUGCAGCUGUACAUCCAUGCUUUUCAGCCAACUUCUCUACUUUCGAAUAUAGGAUCCUAUUUUUCUCCAAGUUUUCUCCACUAAACCUUGGGAACAUUCUCUUCAAAAGUAAAUGUUUGUAAUCAGUCAAUCUGUUUUUCACAACUUAGAAGCAUGUUACUGUAAAUAUUAAGGUCCUAUGUUAUCUGAACUCUUCAUUUUCUUUAAAUAUUCAUAUCCAACAUGUUUCUGACAUCUAUUCGGAUAUAAAUGCAAGGGUAACAUCCUUCUAAUAAAUGAAAACGAAACCUAGAUAAAAAUUAAAUAUACUCAUGUCGAACACAUAUCCAUUAUCCAACACUUACUCUUGAGUCCGUAUAACAUAGGUUAAGUACAGAUUAAAGCCAAAUAAUGUGAGUCUCCAUACCAGAGGCGUAUUAGAGGUAUCUUUAUUCGCUCUACCGGCAAAGAAACCACGACCAAGUGGACUAUAUGGAACAAUCCCGAUUCCAAGUUCCCUGCAUUGUUGAACACAUUGAAGUAGGUAUAAUCUCACAGCAGUUGAAAGAGUUAAAACUGUUGAUGGCAUGAGUUUAUUGAGUCUCAAGAGUACUCAAAAAAACAUUUUAACUUCCCAAAUGAAGAAGACUAUCAAUAAUCAAAUUUCAAUCUAUAUGAACAAAAGGGUAUUUUUAUAACCCCCCAAAUAUAUAAAAUUUUGAAUAUAUCUAUACUUGAUACUCAUUCAAAUCCAAAUAACAUUUAAGUGACUUAAGAAAAAAAGUUAUGAUGAUUCAAGAUAGAAGAAUAAACCUGCAAAGGGGAAUUAUUUCUUCCUCAACAUCACGAGUCCAGAGCGACCACUCAAGUUGUACUGCAGUAAGAGGAUGAACAGCGUGUGCCCUCCUUAUAGUUUCGGGGCUAGCUUCAGAUAUACCAAUGUACUUUAUUUUUCCCUCUUCCACCAACUUCUUCAGUUCUUCCAUCUAUCAUACAUGAAAUAAAUAUAAAUUAUGCUUAAUUUUCCCAUAAACAAAAUACAGGGUUUUUAAUGCAGCAAUGCUUACGGUAUCUUCUAUAGGAGUCUUGUGGUCAACUCUGAUUAUAUAGUAAAGAUCAAUAUAAUCCACAUCAAGGCGUUGAAGGCUAGCCUCAAGUGAAGAACGAACAAAUUCAGGAGUGCCAUUGAUAACCGGACCACCUGGACCCAUGCUUUCAACACCGAAUUUUGUAGCCAACUGUACCUUCUCUCGUGGCAAAUGCUUCAAUGCCUGCAAAAAAGGUUUCCCAGAUUCCUUCAAAUCAUAUCGAUUUCAUAAACUAAAAAAAGCCAUCUCUCGCGCAUAUCUUCGAACAUGUAAUUGACACAAAAGUGUGGGACAUUGUGAGAGUGAAAGGAUCCCUCACAGUUCAAUGUAAUUCAACUUGAAGAGUUGAUCAAACAAAGGAUGUUACCUUUCCAACCAGAAUUUCGUUAGUUUUGGGUCCAUACAUGUCGGCUGUAUCGAAAUGAGUGAUUCCUCUUUCGAAUGCGUGCUUAAUGAUGGCUAUGCCAGCUUCAUCUGACACUGAAUUAUUGUGACCUGAAAGACCCAUACACCCAAAUCCCAGCUUUGAAACCUGUAAGCAAAAAACAAUGGAUUUUAGUUUUACCCCCGAAGAAAAAGCAUUUUCUUAACUAAUAAUAUAACUAGAAAGAAACACAAUCUCAAACCUCAAAUCCUUGAGUUCCAAGUUUCACUCUAGGAAUCUGAAUUGCCAUUUUUUGUUCCCUUUUUUUUUUUCUUCUUCUUCUUCUUCUUGGUGUUCUACAAACAAAGGCUUCUCUGAUUACCGAACAGCUCAAAACAUACCGUUAAAUAGAAGAUCUUGAGGCCUUUACCCAGAACCUUGUUCUUAGCUUUGUCAACAUUUGCUUACAUCAUUAUGGUGUCAGCCCGUAUGUAAUCGUUUUAGUCUACUAGAGAAAAAAACUAAUAAAUAAUCAUCAUCACAAAGAGGCAAAGCAUUUUUUCUUUAUCCAAAAAAAAAGGCAAAGAAUUGGUCAAAAGAUAUAUACAAUAAGUAAAUCAUGUCAUGUGUGUUAAUCAAUAAUCAGAUAAACAUCCUGAGAAAGGGGCCGUAAUACCUCCUUUCAUUCAUUUUUUUUCAAAGGUUCUUGUCUUUUUCUAGAAAGUCAAUGUUUUUACUGAAACAUUCAUAUUGCUGGUAAAAUUCUGCUAUUAGUAUAUCUAUUUUGCAAAUGUUGUUUAAUUUAAUCAAUUUUAAUUUUUAUAUUUUCCAGAUUGAUCAAUUUUAGUUUUUAUAUUUUUUGAGUUUUGAAAUUUUAGUCAUGACUCAGUUAAAUUUAUUUGGUUAAAUUUAAUUAUUAGACGUAGAAAUAUCAAGUUGACAUGACAUCACAUAUAUGACAAUAUGUUUAUAGUAUCAAAUUUUAGAAAUAGUAAAAUCUAACUUAAUGAAUUUAACGGUUAUAGUUUGGUGAGGACAAAAACAUUAAAAUUUAAAAGGUACAAGGUCUAAAAAUACCAAAUUAAAAUAGAAUUAAACCCAUAACUUUGUAAAAUAUAGGGACUAAUAGCUGAAUUUAACCUAUAUUGCUAUAACUUCAUUUUAUUUUAUAAAGCAACCAUUUUUCCUUUUUUGUCAACUUUUUUCACAUGUUUAUAUCGGUAUAUUAAAAAAAAAAGUUCAAAUAUCUAGAGAAUUUUAGAAUAUCAAUUUUUUGAAUAUAUAUAAAAUACAAAUGUUUCAAAAAUUAAUAAAUACUCAAAGCUGUGAAUAAAGAACAUAAGACGAAAUAAGUUGUUCGGAUUUUUUAAAUUAAAUGUAAAAUUAUUGCUUAAAUUAUAUUUUUAUUUUUAUUUUUUACUUUUAACUAUUUAAAAUGUUUUUUUGUCAAAGUUGAUAUUUAAAUUAUUAAUAUUGUCUUAUUUAUUUUUAAAUAUGAUAUUAGUCAAUAAAAACAAAACAUGUGAUACAUUUUUAUUAUAUGUCUCAUACUUUUUGCGAUAAAAUGAAACUAAAUUCAUAAUUUUUAUAUAUUUUUUUUAUAAAAAUCAAUAAAUAUUUAAGUGAGAAAUGGAUAUAAUUUAAAGUCAAAUUUUAUAGUUAAUUUUUCUUGCUUUUUUUUGAAGUAUUAAUUUAAUCUAAGGAUUUUUAAGUCUUCGUUAACUAUAUUUUUGUGCUAGGUAAGUUGGGAGAAACUACUAAGAACAAAUUUAUUGGGUUGAUUAGGGCAUUAAGUAUAUUUUUAUCUUAGUCGCAAAUUAAUUUAUAACGACACUAUUAAAAUUGAUCAUAAUCCAUUUAGUCUAAAUUUAAAUUUUGUUGGCUAGACAAGUAAAUCAUAUAAGCACAUAACUGAAUAAAUAAUUAAAAAAAUUGAAACAAUCAACGAGAAAAUAUGAUCCAUCAUUGUUUCAAGACAAUAAAGUUUAUUUCGUGUUGAAUUGAGCAAAUCACACAAAAAAAAAAUUAAAACAAAUUUGUAUAAAUACAACGUAAUAAAAAAUAAUAUAGAGAGAAAAAUAGUUAUAGAAUUUAUGCCAGAGUACUCCGAAUCUCUUUUUCUUUUAUCUUUGCAAUCUUGAAGUUUCUCUUGGUGUAGAGAGAGUUAUUUCUUAGCCUCUAAGUGAUUUCUUUUUAUUUUCCUUCUUUUUUUCCCUUAAAUCUCAUCACCACCGACCGCUUGCUAUCAAAUUAGUUGACAAACUUUUAAACAAAAUUAGUUGAGUCAGGACUUGAACAAUUUUGUAGACAUGUGUUGACUCAUAUUUAAAUAUCUAUACUGUAGAGUCUUUGAAGAUUAAAUCAUUCUAAGUAAACCCUCCAAUUAAAUGCAUCUUCUGGGUUUGUAUGUAAGGUUGAAGGUGGCUUCGAUGAAGGGAUCACGUCAGUUCUACGAUUCCGGUCCCGAGGCGUCAAUCCAAGCCUCCAAUCCAAAUUUAUCAAAACAAAAACCGAAUAAAAUGAGUUCUUAAAGAAAAUAAAGGGUUUAAAGUUUUUUUGGUCGAAAGAAAAGAUUUCCUUCCAAUUUUUUUCGGCCACUGUCAAGGUUACUCGGCCGUCAGAACUCGAAAAUUUUGGGAUCUCCGGCAGUGGAGCCGGCCGAUAGCAAUCAACAGGGGCAGCCGCAUCUUUAGAGAAAAAAUAAGGUGUUUUGGUUUUCGGCAGAAAUAAUGAUUAGUAUAUAUAUUGAGCCUUUUGGUUGGUAUAUUUGUUAAUAAGUCCUUCCGUUCUGUUUUUUAUUUUUAGGAUUUCCGCAUUUUAAAACGACAAUUUUGGUCCUUGUGAUUUUUGCUUCGUUUUUCAAUAUUGCAAUUUUCGGCUGGAAAAAUUACCGGAUUAGUCCACUGACUUUAUAUAUAUUAAAAAAUAUUUUAUGAAUUAUGAUUAUUUUUGGUAUAUGUUAUGUUUCUUCGUUUUACUUGAAUUUUGAGAUUUCUUUUAGGUUAUGUUAGAUUAUAUUUAGAAUUCUUUGACCUAGAUCUUGAGAUUCAAAUAAUAUACCUUUUAAAAAAAAUAAAUCUUAGGAUUUAAAUAGGUUAAAGUUUUAUUUUUCUAAUUUAGAUGUUCAAAGAGGUUAGAAGUUUGUUUUUCUAAUUUAAAUCUUAGGAUUAAUUUAGAUCUUAGGAUUUAAAUAGGUUAGAAUCUAAUUUAGAUAUUAGCAGGGGUGAAGUCAAAAAAAAUUUUUAGGAGGUCAAAAUUAAAUUGUAAUUUUUACGAUAGUAAAAAUGUAAUUUCACCAUUUUAAUAGUCUAUAUAUUUAUAAUUGUUAAAUGAUUAAAUCAAAUUUUUAUUAUUUUAGGAAGUCAAAGUGUAAUUUUACCUUUUCUAAUUUAAAAUACUAAAAAUUAUAAAUGACCUAAAUAGAAAAUUUUUCAUUUUUCGAGCCUGGGGCUCUCCCAGCCCCUAGAUGUUAGGAUUCAAUUUAUAUUUCUAAUUUAAAUCUUAACAUUCAAAUAGGUUAGAUUUCUCUUUCUUUACUUAGAUCCUAUGCUAUAGAGGUUAGAAUUUUAAUUUUCUGUCAAUUCUUAUAGGUUAGAAUUUAAACUUCCAUCAAUUAGAUUUUAAAGUUUUAUUAUAUUAGAAUUAAAAUUGAUUAGCUCGGAUAUUCUGAUUUUUUUAAUAAUAUUAAAUUUUGAGCAGUUUAAAUUUCGAUUUAGGAUUAUAGGAGUCAAUUUUGAAAUUUUUGAACUAGAAAUCUUUAGCACCAAAUUUUAUAGGAUUAUCUUUAGAUAGGCGUUGUAAGAAUGCUAUAAUCUUUCUUACAUUUAAUUAUACUCUCGAACUUCAAUUUUGGUGCGAGUCUGAAUCUAAUUUUUUAAGAUUUUUCCUCAAGAAUAGUUCUAAAGUCGUAGGCAAUAGGCAAUUAACUGACCUAAUUUAAAUUGGUUAAUGACGAUCCUAUUGCACGUUGGGCCAAAAUUCAUGUAUAAUUUAUAAAUACACUACUUAUCCUUAAAUUUUAUUUAAAAUGAUUUUUUGUUUGAUUUAUAUUAUGUUAUCUAUUUAAAUUUUUGCAGAUUUGAAUAUUUGACGAGUAAUAAUACUUAAUUCAAAUAUGAAUAGUUAUACUCAGAUAAUUUAUAAAUUUAAAUUUUUAAGUAAAUUUACGGAUUUAAAUAAUAGACAGAAGUUUAAGCCAAUAAAGGUUAGUGAGAGUAUACCACAUGUAAGUCCUUAAACUACACAAGAGGUGCUCAACCAUAUAUUAUAUAUUUGCAUCAUUUCGACAACUUCCCAAACCAACUAAACUCUCUAAUAAACUUAUCUUAAAAAACUCAAACCCCAAAUUUGAAUUCGUCAUUGUUCUCUUUUUGAAAUUUAGGGUCUCAACUUUCUAAUUGUUUUUAUAUUGUUUUUAUAUUGCGAUUUGAACUAUUUUCCUAAUCAAAUUAAUCUUUAAAUUAGUAAUUACACUUACAUUUAAGUCUGAAUUUUUUUUCUAAGUUAAUAUUUGAAUUUAAUUGUUCUUAAAUUAAGAUAUGAUUUUUUUAAAACAAAUAUGAAGGACUAACUUUGAUAGAAAAAAUUUAAAUUUCAAGAAUAAUUUUCAAAUUCAAGGAUUUACUUAGAAAAAGAAUUUAUUUGCUUGUAUUAUAAAACUUUCACUUUAUGAGAGAAGAUAAGGUUACAAAACCAAAUUAAAUAUUAACAAUUGAGCUUUGAAAGAAAUAAUCUGUGAGUAAAAUAGUUUUUAAUUGAUUGAGGAUAGAGUGAUGUAAUUCAGUUGAGUCUUUUCAAAGUUAAAAUUGGAAGUAAAUGAUUGAGUAGAAUUUAUAAAUGUACUUUUUUUGAAGUUCUUGAGAAAAGUUAAAUGAUAUUUUCAUUAAAAAUUAAAAGUAAAUAUUUUAACUAAUGCAUGACAAUGACUUUAUUGUGCUAUAAGUAAGUUGUUUAAGUACUAUGUUAGUCAAUUCAAAUGAGAGAACAGAGAGAUCAAGAACUAUAUUAGAACAAUAAAAACAUACAUUGAUUAAACAAUAGCUACAACUCUAUUCGUCCAAGUAAACACUUACACUUAAUUAUUUCAAACAACUAAAAAGAACACGAUACAAAAUAUGACACAACAACAUCAUAAAUACUGAACCCUCCAUUAAUGACAAUCCAAACUUUAGUAACUCAUCAAUCUUUCAAUGGCUGCAGUUUCUUGGGAAAUCCAUUCAUCCCAACACCCAUGAAGCUUUGCUUCUAAACCUAGGUCCUCUUGUUUGGUGGUGUAUUGCCAUAUUUCCAAGUGAAUUGCUUUAAACCUUCAGGAUAAGUACCCCCUGCAACCUCAUGGAUUGGGAUCGCAUCUGUAAUUUCUUUCAAAUCUUCUUUUGUCAGCUUUACUUUCACUGAUUCAAUGUUGCUGUCUAGAUUUUUAAUCUUGGUUGUUCCUGUAAGAAGUGAAAACAAUGUGUCAAAAGCUUUGGUUAUAUAUAUAAAUUGGCCUUUGGUACAGGAUUUUUCAGGCCAUUCUUAGUUACUGGAACUUGUAUCAGAGUGUCCAACACAGAUAUGUUCAUUUUCCUAAGGUUUUACAUAUAUCUGGAGGAAUAUGCUAGAAAAUUCUAUGCUAUUUCUGCAGGUUACUAACUUACUCCGACUGUUUUUUCUUCAAGUAUCCGUGUCUAAUACCCAACAUAUUUUGACAUGAGUAUUGAAUACAAUUCUCCAAAUAUAUGAAAAUUUUCAAAAAAAUAUAAGAGUUCACUUAUAUUGGAUCACCUCGGAAUUCAAGUUGAAAGUGAUUGAAUGGGACUUACCGGGAAUAGGAGAAACAUCAUCCCCUUGAUGAAGAACCCAGGCAAGUGCAAGUUGUGCCGGUGUACAUCCAUGCUUUCCAGCCAACUUCUCUACUUUCGAAUAUAGGAUCCUAUUUUGCUCCAAGUUUUCUCCUUGAAACCUUGGGAACACUCCCUUAAAAAAUAAAUGUUUGUAAUGAGUCAACCGAUCUGUUUUUUUUACAACUUAGAAGCAUGUUACUAUGUUAUCCGAAUUCUUUAUUUUCUUUAAUUACUCAUAUCCAACAUGUCUCUGACACAUAAUUGGAUAUAAGUAUGAGAGUAACAUCCUUCAAAUAAAUGAAAAUGAAACUUAAAAAAUGUUUUUUUUACAACUUAGAAGCAUGUUACUAUGUUAUCCGAAUUCUUUAUUUUCUUUAAUUACUCAUAUCCAACAUGUCUCUGACACAUAAUUGGAUAUAAGUAUGAGAGUAACAUCCUUCAAAUAAAUGAAAAUGAAACUUAAAAAAAACUGAAUAUAUUCAUGUCGCACACAUAUCUGUAUCCAACACUUACUCCUGAACCCAUAUAACAUAGAUUAAGUAUAGGUUAAAGCUAUAUAAAGUGAGUUUCCAUACCAGAGAACUAUUAGAGGUAUCCUCCUUCGCUUUACCGGCAAAGAAACCAUGACCAAGGGGACUAUAUGCAACAAUCCCAAUUCCGAGUUCCCUGCAUUGUUGAACACAUUUAGGCAGACAUAACCUCAGAGCAGUUGAAGGACUUAAAACAGUUGAUAACUUGAGAAAAGACAAUCAAUAAGUGAAUUUCAAUCUAUUUGAGCAAAAGGGUAUAUUUAUAUCCCUCCAAAUAUAUAAAAAAUUGAAUAUACCUAUAUUCGAAAAAAAAAAUUACGAUGAUUGAAGAUAGAAGAAUAAACCUGCAAAGGGGAAUUAGUUCUUCCUCAACAUCACGAGUCCAGAGCGACCACUCAAGUUGUACAGCAGUAAGAGGAUGAACAGCGUGUGCCCUCCUUAUAGUUUCGGGGCUAGCUUCAGAUAUGCCAAUGUACUUUAUUUUUCCCUCUUCCACCAACUUCUUCAGUUCUUCCAUCUAUCAUACAUGAAAUAAAUAUAAAUUAUGCUUAAUUUUCCCAUAAACAAAACAAAAUUGUAUUUGUGUUAAAGAAAGACAAAAUAGGGUUUUUAAUGCAGCAAUGCUUACGGUAUCUUCUAUAGGAGUCUUGCGGUCAACUCUGAUUAUAUAGUAAAGAUCAAUAUAAUCCACAUCAAGGCGUUGAAGGCUAGCCUCAAGUGAAGAACGAACAAAUUCAGGAGUGCCAUUGAUAACCGGACCAUCUGGACCCAUGCUUUCAACACCGAAUUUUGUAGCCAACUGUACCUUCUCUCGUGGCAGAUGCUUCAAUGCCUGCAAAAAAAGAAAUGAUGUUGAUUUCCCAGAUUCCUUUAACGAGCCAAGAACCAGAAUGAAAACAUUAAAUCAUAUCGAUUUGAUAAACUAAAAAAUUCCAUCUCUCACGCAUAUCUUCGAAUAUGUAAUAGACACAAGAGUGUGGGAAAUUGAGAACAUGAAAGAAUCGCUCUCAGUUUCAAUGUGAUUAAGCUUGAAGAGAUGACGAAAGGAUGUUACCUUUCCGACCAGAAUUUCGUUAGUUUUGGGUCCAUAGAAGUCGGCUGUAUCGAUGUGAGUGACUCCUCUUUCGACUGCAUGCUUAAUGAUGGCUAUGCCAUCUUCAGCUGACACUGAAUGAUCGUGACCUGUAAGACUCAUACACCCAAAUCCCAGCUUUGAAACCUGCAGCAACCAAAAAAUAAUAGAUUUUACCCCCCAAAAGAAAACGCCAUUUUCUUAACUAAUAUAAACUAGUAGGAAACAAAAUCUCAAACCUCAAAUCCUUGAGUUCCAAGUUUCACUCUAGGAAUCUCAAUUGCCAUCUUUUGUUUCCUUUUUCUUCUUCUUCUUCUUUGUGUGCUAUAAACAAAGGCUUCUCUGAUUACUGAACCUCUCAAAACUUACAUUAAAUAGAAAAUUUUGAGGUCUUUAUCCAGUAUCUUAUCUUGUUCUCAGCUUUGUUAACAUUCUUACGUCAUUAAGUAUGUCAUCCCAUAUGCCUCAAUUGAAUGAGUGGAUAAAGCUCUUUUUCAGACACGUUUGACACUGUUUAAAUUGGUUAAAUAUAUCAUUUGGUACCUAAGUUUGAUCUUUUUUCUAAUUUGAUAUUUGUGUUAUUUUAAGGUAAAUGACAAAAAUGGUCACUAAAUUGGGGUGAAAUUUCCUUUUUUGCCUCUAAACUAUGAAAAGUUACAUUUUUAUCACUAAAGUUAUUUACUUAUAACAUUUUUAUCACUCGUCUGUUAAUAGAAAAGUGAGGUGUGGUACAUUAAUUUAAGGAUUAAUAUCUAAUUUGAUCAUUAAACUAUAGUUAAGAUAUAAUUUGAUAUUUUUAUAACAUUUUUAAUAAGAAAAAAAUAAAAAAAUCCUAAAAAUUUAUUAUUUAUUUUUUGAAAUUAUGAAAAUAUUUUUAAAAAUUGUAAUUAUGUAAAAAAAUUAUAAAAAUUUUAUAACAAGCAAAACACGUAUUUUACAAAUUAAAAGAAAAAUACGUUUUUAUUGGUAUAGCAUAAAACCAUUUUGCAUAAUAUCUUGGAUAUAAUUAAAUCUGAUCAACUCGUCUGCUACUGUAGCUUUCAGUGCUGAAAAGCAAGCCAAGCCUUUUCCUUUGAGCAGCUACAGGGAAACCGACAAUGAUUGAACUAUUAGACCCAAGCUGCGUUACAGCCGCGCAGCUCUACGUAAAGUCAUGGUCACGUAGUGCAAAUACGUAUUUUGUUUAUUAUAUAAUUUAUAUUUUUUUUGUUUUAUUUUUUACAUGAUUAUAAUUUUAAAAAAUAUAAUUUCAAAUAAAUGAUGAAUUUUCAAAAUAAUUUAAGAUUUUUUUAUAUUUUUAGAAUUUUUAUUUUUUUGAAAUUAUUGUUAAAAAUGUUAUAAAAGUACUAAAUUGAAUGUUUAAGCUAUAAUUUAGGGAUCAAAUUGGAUAUUAAUCCUUGAAUUAGAGGCCAAAAUAUUAUAAGUUGAUAACUUUAGUGACUAAAAUAUAACUUUUCAUAGUCUAGUAAAAAAAAUCACCAAAGUUUAAUGAUCAUUUUUAUAGUUUACCCUUAUUUUUAUUCAAUAUGAUACAUAUGCUUGACAAGAAAAAAAAAUGUCAUCUCAUAUUUUUUUUUGUUUGAUAUAACAUUUCGUACUCAAGUUUGAAUUUUUUUUAAUGCCAAAUCUAUGUUAUUUUUAUCCAAUAUAAUACAUGCAUUUAAAAAAAAUUUAUAUAUUUUCGUAUCUAAAAAUAAAAAUAUUAAUUUUCUAGAUUCGGGUUUUAAUAUUAAUUUAGUGAAAAAUAACUUCUAAUAUUUAAUGUUUGAAUUUUUCAUGAUUUUCUUAAUAGAUUAAAUUUAGUAUUAUUUGUAAAUUUGUUUAGUUUUGCAUUAAAUUAUUUAAAUACAACUUGAUGGAUAUGAUUUAAUUCAAGUUUUAGGAUCGAUGUGAUGAAAUUUAAUUGCUAAUAUUAUCAGCCAAUUACGAAUUUUCAUCCAACUCUAAAAUUCGGAUUAAACAUUAAAAAGUUGGCAUCUUUAACUUCAGGUAUCAGUUCUGGAAUAAACACUAAAAAGUUACCAUUGUUAGCUUUUGGUAUCAAAAUAUAUAACUUUUGUCAAAUAUAAGUACCAUUUCUAUAUAGACUUCCUCGUCAAUUUCAUCAACAAUGCAAGCUUACAUUUAAUUUAUAGUCUUUUCAAGUACAGCAGUAGUCGGAUCUGAUUGGACAAUGACUCUAAUUUCCUCUAAAAAUCCUUCUUGAGUUUAGCUCGAUUAGUACGGAUCAUUUGGGACCAACUUAUUAAAUUAGAUCCCAUAGCCUUUAUUUUUUCCAGAAAGGUACCGUUGGAAAGGUCCCGUGACCUCUCUGACCUCACCUUGGCAGCUUUCCUCCAUAACUCGAGAGGCCUCCAUUCUGAAAUUCCUUGUAGAAUUGGAUAGUCCAGCUCGAGAAAUAAAAUCUUCAGUACAAAUAUUAAUGUGUAGUGAUCCAACUGGGGUAUACCAGGUGCUGGACUGAGUAGCGUGGAAAAAGAGACCACCAGUUCAAGUUCGCCACACAUUGGUCUAGUCUCCCACAAACGUUGGUUACCAUCGUUAAGCCUUUUUCCCAUGUGAACUAAGGACUAUUGCAAACUCUACCACCCUGUUAGAAAGUGCAACUUAUCAUUGAAUUUUGAGUACGAAGGACAAGAGGGAAACUAAAUACUAUUUGGUGCUGCAAAUCUCGGACAAAAUCAGUUCCCUUCUCCUGGUUGUCUACCACAGCCAAUUCCAGGUUAUCGCCAAGCUCUUGGUUUUUUGAAACAGAGAAUUCAUUAUUCUAUGAUAAAGCCAACUCAUGGUCAACAUAGUCAGGUUUUCAAUCAGUAGCUAACUUGUUAUCAUGUCUAUAAAUAUGACCAACAUCCCCUUCUUUCUCAUGAUAAUGCCAUAAACCUAGGAUGUGAUCAUAAGCCUGUCCUGUCCCAGUGUGUCUCAAGCUAUGGUUAUGGCCUAACACCAGUUGCUGGUUCUGCUUUUAUUCUAGAUUGUGGCUUUGUGCAUAGAUCAUGUCAUGAUUAGCCAUUGAAUAAAUUAAUCACAGUGUUAAUUCACAAUGCAUUCAACAAGCCUUAUUUAUCAGCAUUUAUUUACAAAACAAAAUCACAUUGCUUUCAUUCAUUUACAUAGUUCUAACAUUAAAUUCAUUUAAAAUAAACAAGAAGUUGAAGCCCAAAGAAUGAAUACCCAAUGGAAAGAACAGCUUUAGCAAGUCCAGGAAAAUCAGACAAUGCUGAAUAAGUGCCUGAAACAAAAGCUAUCACCGUUGCAGUAAUCCCAUAACUCGUUAACAACGAAGUAAUAUACGUAUAAAAUGCAUGGGCAUCGAGUUUUUCCACAAACGAUUUGCAGUAAUGGAGGAACAUCGAUGUGGACGAGAAGCAAAAGGCCAACGCAUUAGCUAUCACAAACACUCUAAAAGCCAAUUUUCUGCUUAAAAUCGCCAUUCCUUCCUCGGGGCCAUCGCUUUUGUACCCACCGGGCGUGGUGAAACCCGCGGCGAAUGAGAUGAUGGCGAUCAGUGUUGUCACCAGUAAGUUUAUGCUGGCGAUGGUAUGGAGUUGAUCGGAGCUUGGUUUCUUGAUCGCUGCAGGUUCGGGUCUUUUGUUGGGAAUAAGUUGUGGUUGGGUUUCAAUGGCGACAGGGGACCAUGUUGUUUGUGGUUGUUCUUGAUUUGCUGUUGUCGAUUCAGUAGAUCUUGUUUUUCUUCCGUCCUUGUUGAUUGCAUGCAUGUUCUAAGCUUUCUAGACCUCUAUUGCUUGCAACACUCAUUGUAAUCCAAGUCAGUAAGUAGCUCAAUUUGAGAUAAAUAUCCAAUUAUUUGAUCUUUAGAUUUGAUUAUGCUUGUUUACCUAAUAAAAAAUUUUCAAGGAUUAAAAACUCCUCAAAUUAAAUAAGUAGAAAUAUUUUUCAAUUUUAUUGUUGCUUUAUAAUUUUGGUUGAUAUAAUAACAAAUUAAGUCUUUGAUGUUUAUAUAUUAUGUUAAUUUGAUUUUGAUUCUGAAUAAAUUAUAUAAAAAAGAUGUAUUUAAAUAUAGAUAGACUGUGUAAACUGUAAGAUUAAAUUUACUAUUAUAUUAAUUAAAAUUUUAUAAAUUGAUGAUGAAUCAUUAAUUGGUUUUAGAUUAAAAUAUUCUAUUUUUUUUGAAAAUUAUGACCCGUUUGGUUAUAUCAAAAUUGAGAGGGAUAUGAAGGAUAUUUUUACUGAUUAAAUAUAAAGUAAAAUGACACUCAGGGAUCAAUUCCAUUUUUUUAUUUUUCACUUACUCUUGAAUAACAUGAUACUUCUUGUGCAAGAGUUAGUUCGCUCAAAAUAUUCUUCAACGAAAUUACUUGAGAAGUGCACACUGCAGCAACUAUGUAUUUUACUUCACAUGUUGAAAAGGCAUUAAAUUUUAAAAAAUAAAGGUAUUGGGAUUAAAUUGAAAAUGUAUAAAGAGUAUAAGCACUUAGAACAUGUUUUGACUUUUAAAUUUUAUUCCAUAAUUUGCUCCAAAAAUUAAUUUAUUCCAAUGCGAAGCGUGGCAAGAACUAUACUAUAAUGAGUAAAUCACAGGGAUAAGCACUUCAAAUUUUCAAGAAAUUUUACAAUACUUAAAUCAAAAACUCCUAACAUUCAUAAAUAAGAGGAUAAUAAAUACUUAAGUACACUCAAAUCCUUUUGACUGUUGCAACAGCAGUGGUGCCAAUUGAUUUGAAGCUAAAGCAAUAAUUUUUAUAAAUUAUUUAAAAUUAAUUGUAAAAAAUAUAAAAUAUAAACUUAUUUUUUUAUUUUAUUUUAAAUUUUAAUAUAUAAAUAAUUAAGCGGAUGUUAACUGAGGUAUGACAUUAUUUUUAUUAUAACAAUCAGGACAAUGUGAAUUUAAACGGAAUUUUGAAUCAAAUAGUAUUGAAAAGGGUUUUCAUCAUUAUUUCCAUUAAUAUUACAAUCAUACUACAAGCCAAGCAAGUGCAGUACACCCUAAGGCUCAAACAAACCUUCAAAUUCUAUGAAAUUUUUUAGGAUUUAUUACAAACCAAGCAAAUGGAAGCACACACUAAGGCUCAAACAAUGAGGUAAGCACACACUAAGGCUCAAACAAUGCCUCAAUUUAUUAUCAACUUUUUUGCAGAGCUGGUAAUGAUAAUCGUAUGCCCCGUGAUAAUAUCAAUAUAUUACCAAGAAGGCAGUGAAGCAGCAGCCAUGAAAGCGACAAACUAUUCGUAGUUAUAAACAGUACAACGCGAGUUCAGAUCAGGCUUCCACCAAUGGCGAAGUUUAUGAGGUGAAAUGCUUUCUUCGGGAGGACUGAGAUUCUCUAUAAGAUUUGCCGAAGGAAGCAACUGAAGCGGCUCCGAAAUUGCAACAUCCAUUAUUUUCAGUUCUUUGAUCACUAUAUUUCUUAGUGAAUGAUGGCUUAUUAGUCCCCAAACUCCAACGUCGUCGCUCUUUCUUCUCUUCUUGAAAUGUUCAAUAUCUCCUUGACAUGUGAAGUCUCUACUAUUCACAAACAAACAUGGGUUCCACCCUGAUAUUGCAGCAAAUGAAUCUUCAUCACCACUAUAUCCCAAAGCAAGGACAACGCCGCCUUUGAUAACAGUGAUUGUCAGUUGAAGUCCACGUAUCACAUUCUUGUUGUCUUUGAAGAUUGUCUCAAUUGGGAAAGAUGCAUAUGGCGGAUUAAACAAAAAACUUUACAAGAAUUUGCCUCUUUUCACCGUAUUCUUUCCAGCAAGCAUUGCGAUGGCUGCCCCUAGGGAAUGACCAGUUAACCAUACCUUUGAAGAACCAGCCUUUGACACCCUAUCUUCAACAUAUUUCAUGGCGGUCCGAACACGACUAGUUUGAUGAAGUGUAUAGGAUUAUUGCGAAAUCCGACUCAAGAUCCCUUUUCCAAGUUUCUCGUUUGAAUAGGGUACCUCGAAAGGCGAUCACGUAUCCAGGGCCUGGAUUAGUUGCCGAAGGAAACACAUAUUCAAGAAUGGCACCAAAGAUGCUUUCAUCAUCCUCAUGGACGAGCUCAUUCACUAACUUGAAGUUGAAAAACUCCCACCAUUGUGGCGCAAGUGUCUCAGAGCCUCCACGUAAUUCCACUUGUCGGUCACGUUCCCGCUCGGAAACACCCUUGACCAAGCUGGCUGAUAAGGAUCUUCGAUGGCUGUCGUCGUUCCUAUCAAUGGUGGUAAGGUUUUUGGGUCCCACAAGACUAAAAGGUUCUCUUCCACGAGACGUAUAUUAUAGCACUGGAAACUAUUGACGUGGGUACGAGGGCUUUGGGUGAUGUGGGUUUCAGGCUAUAUGGUGGUUAAAGCAGGUUGUGCAAUGGUGACUGUGGUCAGUGAUGUGACAGCGCUGGCGAAUGGACCCGCGGAGCUUGGUCUGGGAGCUCUUAAAUAGAAAAUCUUGAUUAUCCAGUAUCUUCUCUUGGUCUCAGCUUUGUCAACAUUCUUACGUCAUUAAGUAUGUCAUCCCAUAAUGAGUGGAUAAAGCUCUUUUUCAGACACGGUUUAAAUCAUAUGGUUAAAUAUAUAUUUAGUUUUUUUAGAAUUUAUAUUUGAGUUAUUUUAAGAUAAAUUAUAAAAAUGGUUAUUAAAUUGAGGUGAAUUUUUUUAUUAUCUCUGAAUUCUGAAAAGUUAUAUUUUUUUAUUAAAAUUAUCUACUUAUAAUAUUUCGAUCAUUCGUAUGUUAAUAAAAAAGUGAAAUUGUAUAUAUUAAUUUAAGGGUUAAUAUUUAAUUUCAUCAUUAAACGAAUUAAUGAAUGACAAUGACUAUAUUGGGCUAUAAGUAACUUGUUUUAGUAGUAUGUUAGUCAAUUCAAAUGAGAGAAAAGAAGAGAUCAAGAACUAUAUUAGAACAAUAAAAACAUACAUUGAUUAAACAAUAGCUACAACUCUAUUCGUCCAAGUAAACACGAUACAAAAUAUGACGCAACACCAUCAUCAACACUGAACCCUCCAUUAAUGACAAUCCAAAGCUUUAGUAUGUUUCUUGGGAAAUCCAUUCAUCCCAACACCCAUGAAACUUUGCUUCUAAACCUAGGCGCUCUUCUUUGGUGGUGUAUUGCCAUAUUUCCAAGUGAAUUGCUUUAAAUCAUCAGGAUAAGUACCCCCUGCAACCUCUUGGAUUGGGAUCGCAUCUGAAAUUUCUUUCAAAUCUUCUUUUGUCAGCUUUACUUUCACUGAUUCAAUGUUGCUGUCUAGAUUUUUAAUCUUGGUUGUUCCUGUAAGAAGUGAAAACAAUGUGUCAAAAGCUUUGGUUUUAAAUCUCAAUGCAAACUGGCCGUUGGUCCAGGAACUUGUAUCGGAGUGUCCAACACGGAUAUGUUCAUUUUCCUAAGGUUUUACAUAUAUCUGGAGGAAUAUGCUAGAAAAGUCUAUGCUAUUUCUGCAG
rnacentral:lncRNA from 1 species